rnacentral:lncRNA from 1 species
GUCUCCAUCUUCUCGGGCUCCUAAGAUAUUGAGCAUAAGAAUAAGCCGAAUCCGAUUACAAGCUGUUUGCUUCAUAAUCACUUGAGUUUCCUCUCUGAGUUCAUCGCAUUGGCGUGUAACAUCUCCAAACCUUUCUCCUAUAUUUCUUUGCUCCUCUCUUAUGCAUCUUUGAUCUUCCCUUAUCUUUCCCAUUUCUGAUUUUAUUCCCUGGACCCUCACUUUCAAACUCUUCAUUUUUGGUUUGAAAGCCUUCUUUCUCAUGCUCAUCGCCAUUUUAUGGACUUAAAAUUUGAAGCUCAAAGAAAACUGAAACAGAAUGCGUUGGAGAUAUAGUCUUGGAAUGUAUUGAGUGAAAUGCCACGAAGACUCCAUUGAGUUGGAGAUAUAACGUGUCUAGGAAAAUAGAAACGCCAGUGUUGUCUAGGAAUCGGGCGUCGCGGUCAGAGUGGCUGGGAACAUUGAUUAUUGUUAAUAUUCAAAGCGUUAUGAUUGGUUGUUGAUAUUUUCUAGGCUUUUCUUGCUUCACAUACUUUUUUUAUGUAGGCCAUAUGUCGAGCCUGUGCUUUAUUUUGUCAACCUAUCGAUGUAACUUUUCAGAAAAGUUUUCACUUCAAAGUGCUAUUAUGCUUUGCUCCUCGUUUUUUCUUAUUAUAACCUUUUUAUAUUAUUUUAUCAUUAAAAUAAUAAAAUAUUAUUUGAUAUGAUAUUUGUCUUUCACCAAAUCUAGUGUCAAUAUUAUCUAUAUUUGUCUUUUGCCAAAAAAAAUUUAAGUGAUAAAGUCUCAAAAGAGGUGUGUUAUUUGCUUUUUGGAUGAUCUUCUGAAAAUUCUCUCAGAUGGAAACUAUUUUGAAGUUUGUAUUGCAUUUUUCAAAAUAGUUUCGUAAGGUAUAUAAACUCAUAAGAGUUUUAAACCACCUCAUAUCUAUUAGUAUCAUGUCAAUUUAGUCACAAUGUCACAUCAGUAUAUUUAACAGUUAAAUUUAACAGUGUUAAAAUCAACAAAUUAACAAAAUAUAAAAACUUAAUUUACACAAAUUAUUAUACAGAGACUAAAUCUACUGACGUGAUAAAGUCUCCAAAGAGACAAAAUCUUGAAGUGAUCCUCCCAAAAUUCUUCAAUGAGAGACAAUAUCUUGGAGUUUGCCAACAAAAUCUCUAAAAUAUUUUUUUAAAGUUAAGUACACUCAUUUUAAAAGAAGAGAAUCAUUUCUUUUUAAUUUAUAUUUUCACAAAAAUGGUGUCUACGUCAUUGUACAAUUCAUGAUUCUCAUAAUUCGCAAUGCGUAAUGAUCAAGAAUAGCUAUAGACAUCCCCUUUUAUCCAAAAUUGUUUAUUGUAAAUUUUUUAUUAAUCAACAUUAGUUCAUUAUUGAUUAGUCCAAUUUUUAGCUUUUUUAGAUUAUUUUUAUUUGAGCUUUAAUUAUGUUGGAAUGAGCUUAACAGGUCACUUAAGUUUAGGGUUGGUGUCUAAAAUACAAGCUUAAGGUCCAAAGUGCAAACUUAGGGUACAAAUUGAAAUGAAUCAAUACAAAUAUAUAUAUAUAUAUACCCAAAAUAACCAAAAUAAAAAUUUAGUAAAUAAAAUGUAAAUAAAAAUAUAAAAAAAUCAAAAGGGAAACAUUUCAUCUUGCAUUACCAGAUUUGAUUCCACAAAAUAAAGAUAAUAAAAGCAAAAAACAAAGCAGGAAAAAUCAACAAAAAGGAAAGAUAUAAAAAAUAAAAGCCAUAAUAUCUUAAAAAGUCUUUAAACUAUUUAAGAAAAUUCAAAUAAACCCUUAUACUUUUAUUGCGUUAGAUCAAACUUUUAUACUUUUAUUUUGAGUCAAAUAAGCCUUUAUAACUAAUGGUUGACUUAGUCAAAAUAUCACUUGUCAUUUUAUAACAUAUUUCAGUAACAUGGCACUAACGUGAUAUGUUGACAUGUCAUAAUACAUGAUGACAUGGUAUGUUAAUGUGACAUGAUGACAUGGUCAUAUCACACAUGGACAUAAAAUGGUAGUGGAUGUUUUGAUUAUUGGCAAUUAGUCAACCAUUAUUUAUAAGGGCUUAUUUAAAUUUUCUUCAAAAAUUUAUGAAUUUUUUUUAGCAUUAUGGCAAAAUAAAAAGAGGAAGAGAUCAAAAUUACACAUUAAUAAAUCACCUACAAUAUUAUUAAAAUUAUUGAUGUAAAAACUCUUCCCUCUUCGAAAAAAGAAACAUCUCUCCCUCUGUUGCUAAUAAAAAUUUUUUGCAUUUUCAAAAGUAUGGUUCCAACUGGAUUCUAUAGUAGUUUCUCACCAUGCAUUUUUAGAGAUCAAAACGCUUGUUAAAUGUCAAAAAUCAAAUUCUAUUUUUAAAUCUAAUGCUUUAUUUCUUUUUUCCAAAUAAAGCUUAGGAUUGGUUUGGAUGGAAGUUUGAGUGUUCUGACAUGUGCUUGCAAAAAGGCAAUAUUAGAUUCAAAAAGGGUUUUCUUUGGUAUUUUGGAAUUGCUCUUAUAACUUUAAAAUUUAAGCAUUUGUUAGUGUGUAAAAAGGGUGUAUAAACACUUAUCCUUUGAGCAAUUAAGAUACUAAUUUUCGAAUGAGUUGAUAAAUUAAGGCAUUUAAUUUGGAAAAAUCUGGAAAUUAAUUAUGCUUGAUUUAUUAAUACUUACUAUUAUAUUAUUUACUAUUGCUUGCUGAUGUACCCACACAAUUUGUCAACUAGUUUUUCUUAUGUACGAGUAGACCUGUCAAAAUGGGCCGGCCCAUUUUUCAUUAAAUAUGGGGUGGGUUGGGUUGAAAAAAUUUUGGCCCAUAUUUAAACUGGGCCUAGAUGGGCUAGCCCGGUUGCUUAGGUGGUUGACCCGGGUUGGGGCAGACCAGCUCGACAGGCCACACAAAAAAAAAAAAACCUACGGGCUGUGGGUAAAGGGACUAAUCCUUUUGGGAUCUAGGUUCUCCUAAGUCCUAACUGCCUGCUGCCUAAGCCUAACACCCGCCCGAGUCUCGACCCUCUACAUCUAGCAUUCGACUGACGUCCUUCCUCCCAUCUAGCGUCCCAUCCUCCUAUCCGGCGUCCUCCUUCCAUAUGGCAUCUGACCAUCAUCCAUCAGAAUCGGUCGAGCAUCUGGCAUCAGCCAUUUCUCCUUCUCGCCUGUCAUGGUGUCACCUGUCGGUUUCAUUGCUCCUAUCCGGCAUCUAGCCAUCACCCAUCGGCAUCGGCGACCCAUCACCUAGGCCCAACAACCCAAGUGAGUCACUUCACGGUUCUCGCUUUCUCACCUGUCGGAUCGAUUUAGGUAAUCUUUUCUCCCAUCCGGCAUCAUAUUUAACAUUACUUGAGAAAAUUAAACUUUGCUUAGUUUUCAUUUUCAAUGAAUUUGUUUAGUAUCAUUGUUGUUUCUUUUUUUCUUUUGCCAGAAAAUUAAUCUUUUUUUCAUUGUGUGGGAGUUGGCAUGAUUCGAGUGGAUCCAGACUUGUGCUUGAAAUAAUACCUGUUCUUCUGCCAUUGUUUCUCGGUCUCAACUUGAUGACAGUAAUAAGUAACCAAAUGAAUGCUUGCAAUACUUGUUAACUGAUAUUUAUAAAAACAAAUGUUUUGUAGAAUACCCGUUUUGUUAAUCAUAUUCAUACCCUCGAUUACAUAGUAUACUAAAAAUAAUGAACACAAACAACAUGCUUUUAGUUUGUUAAUAAUGUCUGGCAGCUGUAUACUUCAAAUUGUCACCAACUUGAAUCCAUGUUCCUGCUAAACUUAAUCAAGAAAAAAGAUUACUUUUAUGUGUGAGAAAAGUCACUAAUGAGAAAAGAUGUAGAUCCUUGGUAGAACCCCAAAUCCCAUAUCGUAAAACUAAAAGAGUAAACAGAGCAUUUUCUUAAAAGAUAAAUGUUUGCAGAAAGCAGGAUUACCCAACUAACUUUAGCUGUUUUUGUUAACACUUAAUACAGAUACAAAAAAUUGAUUACUAAUUUAAUAAACAAGGUAAGUCAGACAAAUGAUGCAACUAAUUUGGUCUCAUGUGAAAGGUCACAUGACACAUGUUAUCUAAUAUUUGAGGAUUCCAGAAAAGUCCGAGAAAUGUACUACUCAAUUUAGUAUCACAUGAUGAGUUGCUUCUAAGUUCCAACCCAUUAAACAACAAAGAAAAUGAAUAAGAAUUAUAAUAUAUCUAAACAAGAAACAUAAUUAUUUGCACUAUUUUCCCAAUCUUCUUAUUUAUUAACUAUAAUUGUGGGCAUUUAAAUUAAACUUGUAAUUUCAUUUAUAUUUAUCUAUUUUACAACAAAACUGCAUAUAGGCGAAAAAAAUGAAAUGAAUUCUCUAUUUUAUUGCUUGAAGUUGUUUGUAAAUAUUGUUUUAAUCUGUAAAUUUUAUUGUCACAAAACAAGUUGUAGGAUUUAUAUGGUCUUCUCUGAUUUUUUAGGGUGAAAUGGAACCUUGGGGAAACUGGCCCUCGUAUUCUGGUAAAUUUCUUUUUGCAUACUAUAAAAAACACAAUGAGAUUUUAGUUUUAAAUGCUUAUCUCUGCUUGCAAUUCCUGCAAAUUAUAUUAGCUUUAUAAUUUACUAGAGAAUGAAUAAAAUUAAAUCUACAAGAUGAAUAUGAUAGUUUAUGUAAAUUUUUAAUAAUUUUUAUUCAUAUUUAUGUUAUGUGAAGGUAACGGUGAUGGAUCAAUCAGUUGAAAAUUGUAUAAAUGUGGAUGAUGAUGUGAACAUUUUGAAUAAGGAUGAAAUUCCUUCUCAAUCUCAUAUAUCUGAGUCUGAACAGUUGAAUAAGAGGGCCAAAAAAGAAACUUCAAAUGUUUGGAAUUAUUUCACUAAAAUAGGCAAAAAGCAAGAUGGAGUAGAAAGGGAAACUUUUAAUGGUUGUAAAACAAAGUAUAAGGUUGGCCCUAAACCUGGUGGCUCUAAUUAUUGCACUUCACAUUUGCGUCAUCACAUUGACACUUGUAAAUUCAUUUCCUAUUUUAAUCCACAUCAAAUGUUAAUGGAUUAUGAAGGGAAAGUAAAGGCUAGAAAGUUUGAUCCUAGGAUUUCACGUGACAUGCUUGCUGAAGCCAUAAUUAAGCAUGACUUGCCUUAUACUUUGGUUGAAUAUGAUAAGAUUAGAGAUUGGGCUAAGUAUGUAAAUCCAUAUGUGGUGAUGCCUUCUAGAAAAACUGUUGUAUCUGAUGUCUAGAGAAUUCAUUUGAGAGAGAAAGAGAAACUUAAACAAGCUAUAGCCAAGGUACCUAAUAGAAUUUGUUUGACUUUUGAUGUAUGGACAACAUCUACUUCUGAGGGCUAUUUGUUUGACUGCUCACUUUGUCAAUGAAAAUUCGAAGUUAUGUAGCAAGUUGCUUAACUUUUGUCGUAUGCCUCCUCCACAUACUAGAGUUGAAUUAGCUGCUACUGUAUUUGAUUGUUUGAAAGAAUGGGGAAUAGAUAGAAAAGUUUUCUCUCUCACUUUAGGUAAUGUUUCUGCUAAUGAUAACAUGCAAGGUAUCUUGAAAGGCCAUCUUCAUUUGCAAAGUAGCUUGAUUUCUGAUGGUGAAUUUUUUCAUGUACGUUGUUGUGCUCAUAUAUUGAAUUUGAUUGUUCAAGAGGGCUUGAAAGCAGUCAAUGAAGCAUUGUUUAAAAUUAAGGAGAGUGUGAAAUAUGUAAAGGCAUCGGAUGGGAGGAUGAAAAAAUUUCAAGAAUGUGUUCAACAUGUUGGUAUUGAUGCAGGUAUUGGGUUGCAUUUGAAUGUGUCAACUAGAUGGAAUUCAACAUAUUUGAUGCUUGAAAGUGCAAUCAAAUAUCAAAAGGCUUUUGCUAGCCUUCAAUUUGUUGAUAGAACUUAUAAAUAUAAUCCAUCUGAUGAGGAAUGGCGGAGAGCAAUGAUAAUUUGUGAAUUCUUGGAGCCCUUUUAUGAGACCACAAAUUUGAUAUCUGGUUCAUCUUAUCCAACUUCCAAUUUGUAUUUCAUGCAAGUUUGGAAAAUUGAAUCGAUUUUAAAUGAGAAUUUGCAUAAUGAAGAUGAGGUUAUCAAGAAUAUGUGUCAAAGGAUGAAAAUGAAAUUUGAUAAGUAUUGGAAAGAUUAUAGUGUAGUGCUUGCAUUUGGAGUUGUUCUUGACCCAAGGAUGAAGCUUGAUUUCUUAAGAUUUUGCUAUUCUAAGAUUGAUACUUCUACUUGUGAUGAAAAGUUAGAAAAUGUGAAGACAAAGUUGUACGAGCUCUUUGAACAAUAUGCAAGAAGCACUUGUGCAUCAAGUACAUCUUCUCGUUCAACGAGUAAUUUGCCUAAGCAAGUUGGAGGGGGAACUAAACUAAAGGGAUCAAAGAUUUUUAGUGUAAGUUUUGUGUUUUUCCUUCAUCUUAUUACAUGAGAAUUUAUGUUACUUUAUUUAUGUUAUGAUAAUUAUUUUUUUUGUCAUGAAUUUAAAAAUUGUAGGAGUUCAAGAUGUUUCAAAAUGAAACAAUUUUUAUUGCUGGAAAGUUUGAGUUGGAUGUUUAUUUAGAUGAGGCAAAGCUUGAUUAUGAGGUGUUUGAAGAUUUGAAUGUGCUUAAUUAUUGGAAGGAUAAUGCUAAGCACUUUCCUGAUCUUUCUAUUAUGGCACGAGAUGUAUUGAGCAUUUCGAUUACUACAAUAGCAUCAGAGUCUGCUUUUAGUAUUGGUGGUUAUGUUCUCACCAAGUUUAGAAGUUCCCUCCACCAUGAAAAUGUUCAAAAGCUUGUUUGCACAAAAAAUUGGCUGCAUGGCUUUUUUUUAGCUGCCAAUGGCAUUGUUUAUUUUAUAUAUUUCAAUGUCUUUAAUCGUUAUUUGUUAAAUUAAUAAUUUUAGUUAAAAUCGAAACUCACUAUAUCUUUUUUUUCCAUGACAAUGAAUAUUAGAUGAUGAUUCAAAGUUGGAGACGUCAUUGCUGUCCAAACAAGACUCAAAUGUUUUGAUUGAGGAUGAAGAUUGAGAAGAAUAUAAAUUAGUCUUGAAGUUUAUAAAUAUUUGAUUAUGUACUUAUGUAGCUAUGUUAAUGGAAUUGUAGUUUAUUUAAUUGUGUUAAACAUUGAAAUUUUAUUUGUAUUUGAUGUAGUAUAUUUGCUUAUUUAUGUUUGGUGUAAAUUAUUUAUUUCUAACAUAUUUUUAUUAUUCAAUUUAUGUAUUAAAUCAUUGCAUAAUUUUAUUAAUAAAGAGUUAAUUUUUUUUUUGAAAAAUAUGAGUUGACUGAGCUCUGCCCAUGAGCUAGCAAGGGCUGGGCUAGGCUAGGGAUUUGCCAACCCGUAUAAAAUAUGGGCUGGCCCGAUCCAGCUCAUAUUUUUUCAACCCACAAGGACCAGGGCCGAGCCGACCCAUAUUGACAGGUUUACGUACGAGCAACUUUUGUUAUGAUUUAAGAGCCUUCUCUGGUAACCAUUUAAAUUUCUUGCAGGUUUAGUCACCCACAUAAAACAAAUUCUAAAACGUUUAGAAUAAUUUUUUCUUUCCUGCUGACCUGCGGUUUGGUCAACUGGUGUCAUUAUAUAUACAUAGACAAGAGAUUACACCAAAGGACACUAACACCGAACAGAAACACAAGCAGCAGCAUCAAGUCUAUGCUACAAUAUUCAUAAAGCAUACAAACACCAAAGAGGUGAACACCAACCAUCCCAAUAAUCAGAAACAAAACUGAAAAUCACCAGCAGCAAUGAAAGCAUGUCCAGAAAACUCCAUCAGCAGACCCGCAGAACCGGAAAAGAGAUGGUAGAACACCCCAUAAACCUGAGAGGCAUCAUUGAAUUUGCUGCUCGUAGUGUAUGCACGAAGGAAACCAACUUAAGCAACCGAUUUAAGGAAGCGAGUGAAGGUAGCAGCUUUAUCAAAGUCUCCUUCUUCGCGGGCUCGUAAGAUAUUAAACAUAAGAAUAAGCCGAAUCCGAUUGCAAGCUGUUUGCUUCAUAAUCACUUGAGUUUCCUCUCCGAGUUGAUCGCAUUGGCGUUUAACAUCUCCAAACCUUUCUCCUAAAUUUCGUUGCUCCUCUCUUAUGCAUCUUUGAUCUUCCCUUAUCUUAUCCAUUUCCGAUUUUAUUCGUUGGGCCCUCACUUUCAAACUCUUCAUUUUUGGUUUGAAAGUCUUCUUCCUAUAUGCUCAUCGCCAUUUUAUCAGCUUAAAUUUGAAGCUAAAGUGCUCAAAGAUAUAAUCUUGGAAUGUAUUGAGUGAAAUGCCAUGAAGACUGGAUUGUAUAUUUAUACCAAGUGAAUGUUAGAGAACGCGUCUCAAAGAUAUAAAAACGCCAGUGUUGUCUAGGAAUCGGGCGCCGCGGUAAGAGUGGCUGGGAACACUCUAUGAGGUAAGAUUAUUGUUAUGAUUGGCUGCUGAUAUUUCUAUGUGGAAUCUUUUCUUGGCUUUUCUUGGUUUUUCUUGCUUCACAAACUUUUUCAAAAACGGAAUCUUUCUAUGUGAGCCUAUGCUUUAUUUUGUAUCGAUAUAACUUUUCAGAAAAAUUUUCACUUCAAAGUGCUAAUCAUGCUUUGCUCCUCGUUUCUUCUUAUUAUAACUUUUUUAUAUUAUCUUAUUAUUAAAAUAAUAAAAUAUUAUUUGAUGUGAUAUUUGUCUUUGAAAUUAGAAAAGUUUUAAAAUUUAAUUAUUUUUUUAAUUUUAUAUAAUUGAGGAUAAAUUUGCAUAAUCAAUUAAAUUAAUUCAUAAAAUUAUAAUUAUUAAUUAAUUUAUAAUAUCUUUUAAUAUAUAUACUUUAUAUAUAUUAGAUUCAUUUAUAAAUAAUAUAAUUACUGUUAUAUAUAUAUAUUUUGUGUGCAUGUGUGUAUAUAUAUAUGUACUUUAAAUAUAAAUAUAUUUACUUUCUAUUUUGUGUUAACAUUACAAAAAUUAUAACUCAUAAAAUUAUUAAUUACAAUAUAUAUACCUUUGUUUAUAUAAACUUAUAACAUAUAAAUCUAAAAGAAAGUUAUGAGAUAAGUAUAGUUAAUUGGAUAAUUGGGUACCCAUGAAGAAGAUUUUAAUAAUUUUUUUAUCUAAUCGGGUAUUUAAAUGGGUUAAGGUAAUUAUAGGGUAGUGGGAAUGUAUUAGGGUUAGGAUUAUUGUAGUAAUUUUUAAAAUUAUUCAGAUAGUUAAAAAGGUUAGGGUAUUUAAUUUUUACUAAGGUUAAGGUUCGGGUAUCUCAAAAUUUAAGGAUACCCUACCUGUUAGCAUCCUUAAUUAAAUCCAGAUUCGAUAUUAUCUAUAUUUGUUUUUUGCCAAAAAAAAUAUUUAAGUGAUAAAGUCUUGAAAGAGGUGUACUAUUUACUCUUUAGAUGAUCUUUUGAAAAUUCUCUUACCAUGGAAACUAUUUUGAAGUUUAUGUUGACAUUUUUCAACAUAGUUUCGUAAGGUAUAUAAAGUCUUGGCUAAAAGAGUUGGGAAUCUUUAAAACUCAUAAGAGUUAAUUUUAAGUGAUCUUCCAAAAAUUCUUCAAUAAGAUACAAUAUCUUGGAGUUUGCAAACAAAAUUUCCAAAAUAUUUCUUUACAGAAAUAGAGACUUUAGUAUAUCGUUAAGAGUCUUAAAAGUUACGUACACUCAUUUGAACGAAGAGAAAUAUUUCUUUUUAAUUUAUGUUUGUUCACAAAAAUGGUGUCUGCAUCAUUAUGCAAUGCAUGAUUCUCAUAAAACAAUAUGCAAUGAUUAGGAGUAACUAUAGACAUCCCUUUUAUUCGAAAUUAUUUAUUGUAAAUUUUUUAUUAAUUCGCAUUAGUUCAUUAUUAAUUAGUCCAAUUUUUAGCUUUUUCAUAUUAUUUUUAUUUGAGCUUUAAUUACGUUAAAUUAAACUCAACAAGUAAAUUAAGUUUAGGGUUAGUGUCCAACAUACAAACUUAGGGUCCAAAGUGCAAACUUAGGGUUCAAAUUGAAAUGAAUCUAUAUAUAUGUAUAUACCCAAAAAUAACAAAAACUAAAAAAUCAGUAAAUAAAAAUAUAAAAAUUUAUAAAAAAUCAAAAGGGAACAUUUCAUCUUGCAUUAACAGAUUUGAUUCCACAAAAUCAAGAUAAUAAAAGCAAAUAAAAAAUCAGGGAAAAUCAAGGAAAAAUAAAGAAAUAAAAAAUAAAAGGCCUAAUAUCUAAAAAAGUCUUUAAACUAUUCAAAAAAAUUCAAAUAGGCAUUUAUACUUUUAUUGUGUUCAAACAAGCCCUUAUACUUUUAUUUUGAGUCAAAUAAGCUCGUAUAACUAAUUGUUGAAUUAGUCAAAAUGUCACUUGUCAUUUUAUGUUAUAUGGCAUUGACAUGGCACUAACGUGGUAUAUUGACAUGUCAUAAUACAUGAUGAUUUGGUAUAUUAAUGUGAUAUGUUGACAUGGUCAUAUCGCAUUUUUCACGCUCUAUGUCAGCACCACAUGAAUAUAAAAUGAUAGUGUAUGUUUUGAUUAUUGGCAAUUAGUACACCAUUAUUUAUAAGAGCUUAUUUGACAUAAAAUAAAAGUACAAAUGCUUGAUUGAACAAAAUAAAAGAAUAAAGGCUUAUUUAAAUUUUUUUUGAAAAGUUUACAGAUUUUUUUUACCAUUAUGACAAAAUAAAAAGGGGAAGAGAUCCAAAUUACACAUUAAUAAAUUACCUACAAUAUUAGGAAAAUUAUUGAUGUAAAAACUCUCCCCUCUUCAAAAAAAGAAACCUCUCUCCCUCUAUUGCUAAUAAUAUCUUUUUGCAUUUUGAAAAGCAUGGUUUUAAUUGGAUUCUAUGCUAGUUUCUCACCAUGCAUUUUUAGAGAUCAAAACGCUUGUUAAAUGUCAAAAAUCAAAUUCUAUUUUUAAAUCUAAUGUUUUAUUUCUUUGUUCCAAAUUAAGCUCAGGAUUGGUUUGGAUGGAAGUCUGAGUGUUCUGACGUAUGUUUGCAAAAAAGCAAUAUUAGAUUCAAAAGGGGUUUUUCCUUGGUACUUUAGAAUAGCUCUUAUAACUUUAAAAUAUAAGCUUUUGUUAGUGUGUAAAAAAGGUGUAUAAACCCUUAUCAAUGUGUGAACAGAUCCUUGGAGCAAUUAAGAUACUAGUUUUUGAAUAAGUCGAUACAUUAAAACAUUUAAUUUGGAAAAAUAUGAAAAUUAAUUAUGCUUGAUUUAUUAGUACUUAAUAUUAUAUUAUUUACUAUUGCUUGCUGAUGUAGCCACACAAUUUGUCAACCAGUUUUCUUAUGCAUGAGCAACUUUUGUUAUGAUUUAAGAGCCUUCUCUCAUAACUAUUUAAAUAUUGAUUAAUUUCUUGCAGGUUUAGUCACCCACCUAAAACAAAAUUCUAAAAGAUAGAUCUCUCAAGUGUUCGCAGUACUCCCUUAUUAGAAUAACUAGAAUAUUACCCGUGUGCAACAUACGGACCUCUUUAUACUCCUCUCUUUUGCUUCAACGUCUUUUCUCUUUUCACUCUAUUUGCCCUUCACGUGGUUCACUCUGACGCCUUUGCACCCCUCUCUUUCUCUCUCUUUGCUUCAACAUCUUUUCUCUUUCACUGUCUCUGCCUUCCACACAGUUAACUCUGGAACCCUCAGGCUUUUUUUUAUGUAUGUUAUAAAAGUCACAACUUUCCACAUAGCAGCUUAGGGGAACAAAAACGUGGCCAAAUAUAGAGCCAAGUUUAAAUCUUCAAAUUAUUUCUUUCUUGCUGGCCAUCGGUUUAGUCAACUGGCCCAUCCAAGAAAGGAAAACAGAUUACACCGGAAGACACUAACACUAAACAGAAACACAUGCAGCAGCAUCAAGUCUAUACUACUCAUAAAGCAUACAAACACCAAAGUGGUGAACACCAACCAUCCUAAUAAUCUGAUCUUGAUAACUAGAACAGAAACCAAACUGAAAAUCACCGGCAGCAAUGAAAGCAUAUCCAGAAAACUCCAUCAGCAGACCCCCGGAUCUCAACAUUCACAAACCAGAAAAGCAUAAGAAUAAGCCAAUCUGAUCAUUGAUUUCGCUGCUCGUAGUGUAUGCACGAAGGAAACCAAUUUAAGCAACCAAUUUAAGGAAGCGAGUGAGGGUAGCAGCUUUAGCAAAGUCUCCUUCUUCGCGGGCUCCUAAGAUAUUGAGCAUAAGAAUAAACCGAAUCCGAUUGCAAGCUGUUUGCUUCAUAAUCACUUGAGUUUCCUCUCUGAGUUGAUCGCAUUGGCGUUUAACAUCUCCAAACCUGUCUCCUAAAUUUCGUUGCUCCUCUCUUAUGCAUCUUUGAUCUUCCCUUAUCUUAUCCAUUUCCGAUUUUAUUCGUUGGGCCCUCACUUUCAAACUCUUCAUUUUUGGUUUGAAAGUCUUCUUCCUCAUGCUCAUCGCCAUUUUAUCAGCUUAAAUUUGAAGCUCAAAGAAAACUAAAGCUGAAUGAGUUGGAGAUUUAAUCUUCGAUUGUGUUGAAUGAAAAGCCAUAAAGACUGGAAUAUAAAUAUACAUCUAACAAGUUACUGUUAGCGAACCGCGUCUGGUGUUCGGAGGAAAAACAAUAGAAUAAGGAAGAUGAAGAGAAACCGGAGUGAAAGGAGGAAGAAACAGCAGUUACAUAAUGAGGCCAGCAAUCGAACGAUUUUCAAGUGUUAAUAUAUUCCCAAGUGUAAGCGUCGCUCGGUUUCUCAAGUGUUAUCGAGCGAUUCCUUUUGUUAUGACUGAAUGAAACACAAGACUAUCGGUUUGGCUGACAUCCACUUAAUAUAUUCUCGUGGUCCCACACUGUUACUGCAAAAGUAUUUUAUUACGUCACAUACUUUUUCUUUGUGUAUUAUUUAUAUUAUUUUAUUCCUGAUAGUAGUGUUAUGUAAUAUGUAUUAGGAGUAAGAAACAAGAAUGAGGUCACCGCAAAGGUACUCCGUUAAAUACUUCAAAAAAAGGGAUAAACAAAGGUCUUUUAAAUUAAUUAAACUUCACCAUCAGCUUUUUUCAAUCAUUUGCAUGGUAUAUACAAAGACCUUCACAGCGAAUGAGAUUACACAAAUUAAAAUUGUUCAUAUAGAGAUUAUUGAAAGUUAAAGAGGGUGCAAAAUUACACAUAAUAUGUCUCCCCAUUCACAUAAUUGUUCAUAAUAUGUCUUAUCGAGCGAUUGCUUUUGUUUUGAGAGAAUGAAACACAGAUUAUUAGUCUGUUUUUAUUAUAGUGUUUCUACUAUAGUCUUGUGUGACUGGAAGUGACAGAUUAUUGGUGUGGUUGUUACAUCGAUUUAAUAUUCUCGUGGUCACAGCGUUAUGAUUUGCUUCUCAUAUUUUCUAGGAACUUCAUUUUCUUGGCUUUUGUGGCUGAAUAUGUCGUUCAAUUCACGUCACACUUAAACUUCAAAUACAAAGGUCAGUAAAGUCUAUUAGCAAUUCACGCCAAAGACAAGUUCUAGAAACCAAUAGAAACAAGGCACAUAAACGACAGAAUUAGAGAUGAAUGGAUUUCGUUUAAUUCCAACAAAUCCCUCCGUCAGAUUAAUUAGUUUUCAAUCUUCACCAUGCAAGCAUCUUCUAGAACUUGUAGAUCACAUCACUCUUUAAUGGCUUUGUAAAGAUAUCUGCAAGUUAGUCUUUAAACUAGCAAACUCCACCUCAAUCUCAUGGUCUUUUACCAAAUCCCGACAGUAGUGAUGUUUGUACGCAUUUCCUUCCACUCUUCGUUCUCUCUCAAAAAGCAAUGUAAGUCUGUUUUAUUAUUUUAGUUUUGAGUUGAGCUUAUUUUUUCUCUUUGCAGUUGGUAUGAGUUGUUAAUGUUUAUUUGGGUAUGUUUCACAUUAUUUUGCUGUUGGCAAUUUUUAGUUAUAGUUGCAUUUUCCGAAUGGUUGUUUUUGCAUAUUGUUGUUUAAUUUUCUACUCACGCAAGUGUACAUAUUGCAAAGGUAAUAUAGAGAUGAGUAGAGUGUCGAUUCCACAGAGAAUUGAAUUAAUCCUUGCAGUUAACUACUAAAAUUAACACACUUUAACUUUAUCUAGACAAUUAAAAUUAAAAAAGAAAAUUUAAAUUAAUAAACUAAUAACAAAAACUAAUCUAUUCAAAUUUACUUUAUUAAAUGUGAAUGACUACCAGAUCUAAGAUUAGAAUAUUUCUCAAUACUUUAUCUGAUUAUUAUCUCUCUCUUAACCUAGUUUAAUGGAUUAAGUUGGUAACCUAGAGUCCUAAAUUAUUUACAAGUCUCUAUCGAGUUUUUUAUAAAAAUAUCUCUCUCAAUUAAUUUACUAUAUGUCUAUACAAAUUAUAUUGAAGAAAGAUUCAUUAAGUUUAUGCUCUAAUCCUAGCUACGUAUGGUUUAUAGGUGUAUUUCUACCCUAUAUGCAAAUCAAAUCACCUAAUCAACUAAGUGUAUUCGAUCAUACGCUAUUCUAUUCAAGAUCUACCUAAAUCUCCUUUGUCAAGGUUUAACUUAGAUUUCCAAUUCAAUCUAAUUGGUGGCCAGUCAACUAGAAGCAUUAAGAACAGAAUAAAAUAAACAACUUAAAUCUAUCAAACAUAAGCAAAAAAGAGAUAAAUAAUUCAGACUACAUAUUGAGUUCAAUCAUAAUCUUAGAUAAAAAAUUUAGUUCCCUAUCAAGUCACACAUUAUUAUUGAAUAAAAUCUAAACAUUAAAAACAAAACUAAGAAAAUAAAAGAAUAAAAAAAAAUAUAAAAAAACUCAAGAAUUGUAUUCUUGAUCUCCAAAUCUCCUUGAAUUUUGCAAAUUCUUUUUAGCUUCAAUGACUCUAUGGCUUGACUCUUAGCUGUUAAUCUGAUGUUUCUUCAUUCUCUUUUUUUCUCAUCUGAAAGGUUGUUUUUAUAGGCUUUGAAGUUAGGCCAAGUUGGGUGAAGAAAGAAGUCAAUUUCAACUAUGAUUUUUAUUGGCUCCAUUAGUUUUUUAUGAUAAUAAAACAUUCCCAUUCAUUUGUGUCUAAUGCCUUUACUUAAGUGUGCAGGAAAAUUAAUGUAUAAAAUUAAUAAAUCAAUCUUUUAAAAUACAUAUCAAAAGAAAAAGGGAGAUAAAGAUAAAGAGACAUGACUGCUUAACAAGGAGGAAGCUCAUUAGUUGAAUAAGGAAGAAUGUUGGUUGGCCAAGAUUCAAAAUGGAGAAAUGGUAGGCUGAAGAAUAUUGAGAAAUAGAACCAACUUAGUCGACCAAGAAAUAGACUAGUCGACUAAGUGCAUACUGCUAGAAACAGGGAGUAGAAAACAGAGACGAUUUAAUCGACUAAGAUAUUGGUUAGUCGACCAAGAGCAUUCUGGCUGCAAGUUUGAAAGCUGCACUAAAAGACAGAGUAACGGCUAGAACUGACCCUCAACUAUCUCCAACGGCUAAAAAACUGUCAGACUGCCAUCAGAGUUGUUUCUCUAAGUAUAAAAGGGUCUUCCAAUGGUUAGAAAUUAGUUUUUGAGAGAAUUAAAAGCUUCCAAGUGAUAUAGAGCUGAAAAAUUAGAAAAUCUUCUCUGCAUUUUGCUUCACUUAAACGCCCAUCUUUUGUUAUUAUAUUCUGCACUCAACCUUGUACUAUUUAGAUCAACUUAUGAUCAUAGGUACUUUCUUUUAUUUCUCUUAUUGUAUUCUUAGAGUGAGAGAGUUACUCUAAGUGGUUGUUUCAAGCUAGGUUUGCUUGAAUGUGUUAAGGUUCUAACUUAGCCUUGAAAAGUCAGUUGGUGAGUUUUAGUUUAGCCUGUGCAAAACUAGUGUUAAAGGUUUUGACUGAGUCUUGUAAAAGCCAUUGUAAAGCUUGGUGAAAGCUUGUGAAUUUCACUGGUUGUUAAUGGAUUGUUUGAAAAAUCCUUCGUUGGAUAAUCAAGGUAGUAGAUGUAGGUCUUGGACCUAGCCACUAUAAAUUCUACUGUCUUGUUUACUCUAUUUUGUUUCAUUUUCUUUCCUUCAUUUGUCUCAACUUUAUCUAGACUUACAGACAAUUUUUGAAAGAGCCAAAUUAUGCUAUUCACCCCCCUCUAGCACAUAUUAUUGGGACCAACAAUUUCCUCAUCAAACUAUGUAGUCGCAGCUUUGCCCAAUUAAUUAACAGAAAUCAUAAUUGCUCUAGAAUUGUUGCAGUAUAUCAACUUCAAUAAGAUUUUUGACCAUAUUUCAGGCCAAACUAGGUGAAGUGGUAAUAAUAAAAGUUGUAGAUUUUUCUCUUAUCUUUCCAAUAGUUUAAGAAUCGCUUCAUUUAGAACUCUAUAGAGAAAGUUAUGGCUGAAAUACCGAAACAUGUGAAGUGUAAGUUAGUACCUUGAAAUUGCUCUCUUUCUUUUACUAAAAUUCUUCUUUCAAACACCUACAAAAGCACAAAUAAAUCAAUAACAACCUAUCUUGAUCAUAUUAACACCAAAUUAAGUAUAAAUUAAUCAUAAUUAGAUUGACUUACCUAAAAUAACUAAUUUAAAAUAAUUAAAUAAAAUCUACUAAUUUUUAUGCAUUACUACAAAAACUAAGCCAAAUCAUUAUUAAAAAUAAGCUCAAAUAACUCUACAUUAUAGAGUUAUCACAUAUUGUACAUACAAAUUUCUCGUCGAAUUUCUUGACUUGAAAAAUUAUGACACAAAUAUAAAAUAUUUUGAUGUGAGUUAUAAUAUUUGAAAAUUCCUCUGAUUAAUUUCUUCACUUCAGCCUUAAGAGUCAUGAACUCGGACUUAGUCUUGAUCACGAACUAAACUUGAUAUCUUCGCUUCAAAGGGCUUGACGACUUGAUUUUGAUUACGAACUAUAUUUGAUAUCUUCACCUCAAGGGUCUUGAUAACUUGAUCUUGAUAGUCUUGGUUACGAGCUAAACUUGAUAUCUUCACUUCAAACAUCUUGACGACUUGAUCUUGAUCACAAACUAUAUUUGAUAUCUCUGCCUUAAGGGUCUUGACAACUUGAUCUUGAUCAUGAACUAUGUUUGAUAUCUUUGCUUCAAGGGUCUUCACGACUUGAUCUUGAUCAUGAACUAUACUUGAUAUCUUCACCUCAAGGGUCUUCACGACUUAAUUUUGAUGUCAAGCUCAACUCUAUUAUAUACUUGCCAUGUCAUUCAUGUAUUUGAUAGCAUAUCUAUAUACUUGGAUGCCUCAAAAAAUCGUUAAAAAGUUGGUAUCGUACCUAAUGGUACAAUUAAGUUGAUUAAAGCCUCGAACUAGUCCAAAUAGAGAUUUGAAGAUGUAUUCGAGAGUUAUUGAAACUUAGAAUAUCUUAAUAUGGUGAUUCGGAGUUUGAUGAUUGAUUUGGAGUCCAAUCGGGAAUUUUCAUAACGUAAGGGCAAAAUGAUCAUUUUACCACCUGAGGGUAAAAUUGCAAUGUUGGAUGAAAUUUUUGACUAAGUUUGACUAAUUGGAGCAUGAUUUAAAUUUGAGAAAUGAACAAUUUUAAUUUCGACAUUUUUUCGAACAUAAGGGCAAAUAGUCAUUUUACGUGUCCAUAAGGGCAUAAUUGGAAUCUUUAAAAAUUUGCACCACCAUGACACUUGUCCAACCCAUAAACUUCACCCAUUAUCAUUUUGGCCCAUGGAUAAUUUUGUGGUGGUGAGAGAAUGCUUAAUUGUUAAGUGUUAAGCAUGAACCAAUUACAUGGUGACACGUGGUAAAUUUUAAUCCUUUUAUAAUUCCCUUUAAAAACCAGCACACACUCCUCCCAAAUCAUUCUCUCUUGGCCGGCCAAAGCAAAAAACAAAGAGAAAAGAAUAGAAACAAACCCUAGAGAGGAAAAUUUAAGAGAAACUUGUUGAAUUUCAAAGAACAAAGCAAUCAAAAGUAAGAUUUUUCAAUUUUAGCUUAAGAUCUACCUUUCCCAUGCUCUCUUUUUCAUUUUCCAUAGUUGAAACUCAAGAUUUCAUGAAGGAAAGUUUGCUAGCCGAACCUAGGGGGAGAGGUUUUGAUCACGGGUUUUGUUAGAUUUCAUGCUACAUACUCGUUUUUAGUUGUUUUGUGAUACUCGGUGUGAAAAACAAGCAUGAAAACCACAUGUUCUUCAUCAAACCCUCCUUGGCUGAAUUUACUAAAGGACAUAUUGAUGAUGAAUCUUGUUAUAUCUCAUGUUAUUUAACUCGUAUUUGAUGAAUUGUGGUGUCGGAUAUUGAAAACGGUUAUGAAAACGUAUAGUUCCUUUAGUGAACGAUUUGAACAAUAAUAAGUAAAUCAUAGUAAAUGGACUUGGAUUUGAUUUCUAAUGAUAUAGAUGGAUUUAUUGGACUAUGUUGACAUUGAUUAGCAUGUUAGUUCGGAAUCAGAAUGAAUUUCGGUUACGAUGAAUUAAGUCACAAUCAAGCUCAUUAAGGUACCUUGGUGUAUUUGGAAUAUUGGAAGUGUAAUGAAUAUAUUUGAAGUGGAAUUGGAUGUUUUGGUUAAUUCAACAGCGUAUAGUUCGAGUUAGGUCGAAUGCAAAUUCAAACCGAUCAAAAUUGAACUCACGUAGAAUACCAUCUUUAAGUGAUUAUUUGGACACUUCUCAUUCCAUUUCAUGCAUUCAUGUAGAGCCUGAAAUACUUUUAUAAUAGAAUGGGACAAAUAUAUUGAAUUACUUGUCGUGUAUUAUGUAUAGGUGUUGAGCCCCCUAAUAAGGGUAAAGAUAUUAUACCCGAGGACCAAGAAUAAGAGUACUCCAAACUCUCGUUAUUGUGAGUGAUCAGACUUUCAUCUUAACUAUCUAAAGUAGUUUAUACUCGUUUUUAUGUUUUAAAGAAAAAUGAGUUUAAAUUGUAAGUUAUUAUGUUUUAAAAGUGAAGUGUUGGUUAAACGAAAUGAGAUUUAUAACUAUUUUGAAAUUAAAUACUGGUUUUGGAAAUUGAGUAAGUGGAGACUGUAUACUCAUGUUAUAUAUAUAUAUGUUUUGACAUAUGGUUUGAAUUGAUGGCUUAUGACAAUGUGGUGGCAAGCAUGGUUAGAUUUCUGUUUGUGUGGAAUAUAUGAAUUGUUUUGCUUUGCCUUGACAAGCUGGGUAAUGCUAUAUUGGCCAUGUCAUGCUAUCGAAAUUUUUAUUAAUUUUGGGGGUUAUUUGAUUAGCUUACUGCAGUGGACGAGUUUCUGUGGACUAGCCUAUGAGAAGGGCAUGGUAAAUCCCGUUAUAUUUACCUUAAUACGAGAGGCGCGGAGGGUAUCUCCUAAGGUAAAGUUUAGAGUUCACUUCACCCCAAACCACCACGUGAAAGUGAAACUCAACCAACGCCAAGGAACGACUAUGUUUUUAAACGUGAAAACAUGUUUUAUGUGUAUAUGUUUUUUUAACUGCCUUGGCGGACUCGGUUGGAUGCCCGGCGCAAGGCAUCAUCGAGUACUAAUUUUUGGCACGAGCCAAAUUUUUACGAGAAUCAUUAGCCUUGUUGAUUUUUAUGAAAUGAAAUUGAUUUAUAUGAAAUGAAAUGAGAUUUGAUGUUAUGAAUCAUAUUAUGAUGAGAUAUUUUAAAUUGUCUCCGUUUACUCGGCUUUAGAUAUUAUAGAUGAAAUUUGCUUACUCACUGGGUUUAGAAAAACUCACCCCUUCUUUUCCCCCAUUUCAAGCUCAAGACAGUCUAUAGACAGUCAAUUUUGUCGAGGGUUGCUUUUGGAUUUGUAUCCUUAGAAAUCGAAAGUCUACAGUCUUGUACAAUUUCAGUUAUUUUGGGGGCCCACAUGUUAUUGUAGAAUAUUUUUGUAUACCUGGUUUAGUGCGCUAUUAUAUAUAUGAAUUUAUUUUGCUUUUACGCUACAAAAAUUAUUUAUGCACGAUUCUAUAAAUAUUGUUUUAUAAGAAAAUAAAAUAUUUUAUUUAAUAUUUUUAUUUAGUUUGAUUAGCCAUAAUUUCAUCUUAAAUGGAUAAUUUAGAUUACUAAAAUUAUUCUUAGAUAAGAAAUGUAUAUUUUUUGAUCGUAUACUAUAUUUUCAUCAAGUUUCAAAAUUUUGGAUAAAAUGACCAAAAUACCCCUGUGCAGUAGAAAUUACUUUUUGAUCAUUUUUUAUUUGAAAAUAGUCUAUAUUCUUUUAAAUAUGAUAUUUAAUAACUGUUACUCACAGGGGCGGCAGAAAACUGAUGCAAUAGCCUUACGAGGUUUCAGUUGGCAUUCCAAGUAAGGAAUGUCUAUCGAGACAUCGCGGAGGGUUGUCAUGGGCUCGAAGAGAGUACCGGGUUGUGACACUUGACCAUGAACACUUGAUAUUUUGAUCAUGAACUUUGCUGCCGCCGGAUAUCUUGAUCACGAACUUUGUUUCUACUUGAUCAUGAACUUCGCUGUCGCUUGAUAUCUUCACUUUAGAAAUCGUCUACUUUUCUCAAUCUCUGAAAAGCUCUGAAUCUUCGAAUGCCUUCGAAUGAAUGCAAGUGGAUUGGAGGAGCCCCUUAUUUAUAAUGCUAGGUGGGAGACUUUGAUGAGAAUGUAGUCUCUUUGAAUUAUCUCUAAAUUAUUUUAAUUUAUUUAGAGAUAAAUUAUAAUGACUCAUUAAAAGUCUUUUGAUUGACAGGAUUUUGAGUCAUUAAAUUUUGAUUGGUCGAAGUUAAGUAUUAUCUCUAAAUCAUCUUAAUUUAUUUGGAGAUAAAUUAAAUAAUAAAAUUUGAUUUUUAUCUCUAAAUUAUCAUAAUUAUUAGAGAUAAAUUAAAUGACCAAUAAUUAAAUUUUGAUUGGUCAAAAAUAUGAUAUUAUCUUUAAAUUAUCUUGAUUUAUUUAGAGACAAAUUAGAUUAUCAAUAAUUAAAUUUUAAUUGUUCCAAAUUAAAUAUUAUCUUCAAAUUAUCUCAAGGGAUAAAUACAUGACAUAUUAGUGAAUUAGUUCAACUAUGUGUCUUUGAAAUAAUCUAACGAAUAAAUUAAUUAUUUUAAAAUUAAUUAUAUGGUUAUGAUAUCAUCAAGUCCACAUUGCAGCACGUAAUUGGAUCAUAACUUUUUUUCUUCUACAAAUGCCCCUCAAGACUUGUUCACAUAUGAUUUUGAAUGAAGCAAGUGGACAAGUCUUGAAAUUUUAAAAAAUUUCUGGGAUUUCUUAGAAUCCUAGUAUGUCUUGGUAUACUUGCAAGCCAAGUUAAAUUUGAAUUAUACUUACCCAUAGGUAAGAGAAUUAUGAUCUUGGAAGAUGUAUAUUGCAAUAAACCUAUAGGAAGAACUAUAUUGUAGUUGGUAUUACAUUUUUUAGUCAACAAAGGCUCUCUCUUUUAACUCUAUAAAAGGGAAACUCCCUCGUUAAUUUUCUACACAUCGAAAUCAAUUUAAGAAUUGCAGGUGUUCCAUAAGCUAGUAAAAAAAUUCUUCAAGAUAUGCCACCUUGAUAGUUUUUUUAUUCUAUCAAAUAAGUCCUCAUACUCUUAUUACGUUCAAUCGAGCCUUCAUAUUUUUUAUUUUGAAUCAAAUAAAUCCUUAUACUUUUAUUUUAAGUCAAAUAAGCAUUUAUAACUAAUAGUUGACUUAAUCAAAAUAUCAUUUAUCAUUUUAUAUCAUAUGGUAGUGACGUGACUAACGUGACAUGUUGACAUGUUAUAAUAUAUUAUGAUAUGGUCAAAUCGUAUUUUUCACGCUCUAUGUCAGCACCACAUGGACAUAAAAUGAUAGUCGAUGUUUUAAUUAUUGACAAUUAGUUAACUAUUAUUUAUAAAAGCUUAUUUGACCCACAAUAAAAGUACAAAGGCUUGACUGAACAAAAUAAAAAAAUAUGGGCUUAUUUAAAUUUUUUUGAAAAAUUUACGAAUUUUUUUUAGCACUAAGGCAAAAUAAAAAGGGGAAGAGAUCCAAGUUACACAUUAAUAAAUCAAUUACAAUAUUAUGAAAAUUAUUGAUGUAAAAAUUCUUCCCUUUUCAUAAAAAUUAUUAUGAAAAUUUGUAAUAAAUCAAUUAUAUUUUAUUAGGAUCUCAGCCAACGUGAAGGGGAACUCAGCCAACGUCAAGGAACGGCUGUAUUUUUCUCAAACUAAAAUAUAUUUUAAGUGUAUACAAAAUUUUAACAGCCUUGGCGGACUCGGUUAGAUGCCCUGCGCAAGGUAUCACCGAGUAUGAGUUUUGGCACGAGCUAAAGUUUUAAGAAAUUCAUAAGCCAAGUUGAUUACUCGAUUUUUAUGGAUUGAUUUUAUUUGGUUGAAAUGAGUUGAAAGGUAAUGAAAUUACAGUAUGAUGAUUUAUUUUAAUUGUCUCCAUUUACUCGAUUUUAGAUAGUUUAGAUGGUAUCUGUUUACUAACUGGGAUUUUAUAAUCUCACCACCCUCAUUUCCUCACAUUUCAGGCUCGGGGAAUUUCAUAGUUAGCUGACUUUAACAAGGACCUUCAUUUGGAUUCGAAUCGGUAAAAGUUGUAGGUUUCCAACUUCCGAUGCAUUUUGGAUAGAUGUGGGCCCACGUGUCACUGUAAAAAAAAUUUUAUGCUUUGGUUAUUUGUUUUAUAGUAUAUAUGAAUAUAAUUAUCUUUUACGCUAUAAGAAUUAUGUACCGAUAGUUUUAUGAAAAUUAUUUUACAAGAAAAUAGUUUAUUUUAUUGAAUAUUUUUAUUAUAUUCAAAUGGUCAAGUUUUCACUUCAAAUGAACGUUUUAGAUACUUAAUUUUUUUUAAAAUCAUUAAAUAUAUAUUUUUGGCUUACCUACUACAUUUUUAGCAAGUUUUGAGCUUUUCGACAAAAAUGACGAAAAUGCCCCUGUGAGCCAAAAAAAAAUAUGUUAUGUUAUGAUUUGAAAAUGAUUUGUAAUCCUUCGUAUUUUGAUUAUUUGAUAACUAUUGCUCACCGGGGAAGUGCGAAAGUUGAUACGAGAGCCUUGCGAGGUUUCGAUCGACAUUCGGAGUGAAGAAUGUUUGUCGAGGCUUCGCGGCGGUUGUCACGGGCUCGAUGGGGAGUUCCGGGUCGUGACAUUAUGGCUUUGUAUACUUCAAGUUUUUUACUCUUUUGCCUUUAGAUCAACUUGAGCUUCUCAAGAGUCGACUCCUAGACUUGUGCCUUAAGGUUGUCUUAGCUUUUUAGCACCUUUCUUCAACUAUAUUUUCUUUGCCUUGUUCCAACAAUCAAAUAAUAAUUCAUGGCAUGUUUACCUUUUGUUUUCUUAGUUGAAUAUGCAUUGUUUGAAAGCUUUUAUAAUAUUUUUUAAUGAUGCAUGGCUUUUUAAACAAUUAUGUGGUCUUAGGGGAUUAAAAAUAUAUUUGAGACAAUUUAAAAUGCUUGACAUUAAGUUCAAAAUAACAUGUAAUUUUUGUCAAAUUAAAGCAUGAUGUAACUCAAGGCUAACAUUGUUCCUUGACGUUUGAAAGACCUUAAUAACUUUAUCAACUAUGUUAAGAGGAAGAUUCCUAAAUGGUCUGUUGUGCACGUCCCCCGUUCUGGUAAUAUGUUAAUUGACCAUCUUGCAAAAGCUGGAGUCAAUCAUGCUCAUGGGCAAACCAUAUUGGAAGGAGUGGUGUCACAUGGCACCACUCACUUCUUAAAAUGUUUUAAUUUUUAUAUUAUUUAUUUAAAGUUUUGGGUAGUUAAUAUAGUAAUGAACCCAUGAAUUUUUUUUGCAAUUUUAUAAGGACGGGGGUCAAAUACUCCAAGUAAAAGUGAUUUAUCAAAAGGUAAUUUAUGUAUUUUGUAGAGGCUUAUAUUUAGUUUUAAUGAAUGAAUAGAAAAUUGUCAUUUCUUUAGUAACUGAAUUUGAUAAUUUGCUAUGUAAGAUUAUAUUUUAUUUAAUUCUAAUAUUUUAAUUUAUGCUAAUGAGUACUAAUUUUUAACAAGUUAUAUAAAUUUAGAUAAAUAAGUCAUGAAAAGAUAUUUUAAAAGAAAAAAAAUUAUCUCACAAGGCUUAGAUCUCGUACAAUAACAAAAUUCUACUAAUGAUGAUACUUAACAGUAUUUUUCUAAGUAAAAUUGUGUUGAAUUUGAUAUAAGUACUCUUUCAAUAGAUCUUGAAUAAAAAAAAAAUUUUGAAUAUCAUCCUAUUGAAUGACAUCACUUAAAAAAAUCCACCGACGCCGGUUACCAUCCACAAGUACAGGCCGUAAGGCCCUGUUGGUACGAGCAACUGCCAUUCCUUAUAUCAGUUAAGCCUUCAAACAGUCAUUCUUUAUAUAAUAUAUAUAAUUUUGGCAAGUGUUAAAAUUAUGAAUUAACUAAUAAAUAUAAUUUUUUUUUUGUGUAACUCAAUCACGUAAAUAUAUUUUCUGAUGGUAUAUAAAAAAUUGCUGCACAUUAAAGAAGAAAACAGAAAAAGUGAGAUAACAAUGUUAAUUACAUAAAUUAUGUUUGCUGCUUCUAUCAGAAACCAAUUUAAGGAAGUUGGAUUAAAUAGAUCUUUAUAAUUAACAGUUAAUUAAAAAUAAUUAAUCAAAAUGUAACAUUGACAUGAUGUUAUGUUAUUAUAUUACAUAACAUGCAACAUCAUCAUUCACUAUGACAUGUCAGUAUGACUCAUCGAUAUUACAUGACAUAAAAAAGAUAAGUAACAUUUUGAUUAAUAAUAGUUAAUUAACUAUUAAUUAGUUAUAAGGUAAAAAAAACUUAUUUAAAAUUUUUUUUAAGUAUUAUAUAAUCUACUUCUUAUUUGUUAAACAAUGUGUACAUCACUAUUAAUGAUUAAAUUAAUAGGAUGUCAUAGAUAGGAACUAAGCUAAAGGAAUUAAAAACGCGAAUGGAGAAGAGAUACAGUUCCGCUAAUAAAAUGGGAAUGCUUUUUUAGUGGUCGUUUUCAAUAUUGUAUUUCUUGGGUCACCGCCCUAACCGUCCUUCAAUUAUCUUUUGUAAAUUGACUUCUUAAAGUAGCAAGCCUUGACAAAAUUCAUUAUGCACCAAAAUGAAAGCCAUACGACUCCGUUUUUAUAUGCAAAUCCUAUUAUUCUUUAUGUUUUUUAAUGAAGUCUAAAUUUGAACAAGAGUAAUAAUUUUAACAAUGUACUUUUAGGUUGGUUAAAAAGAUUUAAAAAAACUAACAGUAAAAUGAAUAUUUCAAAAAAAGUAAAAAAAAAUAAUCUUUUUUCUUUGCAGUUAAUUUUUUUUACUAUUUUUUAAUCAAAUGAAAAGUAUAAUGUUAUAAUUACAAUACUUGAUUAAACAUUAAGAAUCCAUCACCCUAAAUAAACUGAUAAAUUUUGGAUUUUAUUAAGUUUGCUUUAUCAAAGUCUCCUUCUUCGUGGGCUCGUAAGAUAUUAAACAUAAGAAUAAGCCGAAUCCGAUUGCAAGCUGUUUGCUUCAUAAUCACUUUGAGUUUCCUCUGAGUUGAUCGUGUUGGCGUUUAACAUCUCCAAACCUUUCCCCUAUAUUUCUUUUCUCCUCUCUUGUAAUUUUUAAUUUUUUUCUUUCCUAUUUCUGAUUUUAUUCGUUGGGACCUCACUUUCAGACUCUUCAUUUUUGGUUCGAAGGCCUUGUUCCUCAUGCUCAUCGCCAUUUUAUCAGCUUAAGUUAUAAGAGUUUUAAACCACGUCAUGUCUAUUAGUAUCAUGUCAAUUUAGUCACAAUGCCACAUCGGCAUAUUUAACAAUUAAAUUUAACGAUGUUAAAAUUAAAAAUUAAAAUUAACAAAUUAACAAAAUAUAAAAACCUAAUUCACACAAAUUAUUUUAUAGAGACUACAUCUGCUGACAUGAUAAAGGCUCCAAAGAGACAAUAUCUUGAAGUGAUCCUCCCAAAAUUCUUCAAUGAGAGACAAUAUCUUGGAGUUUACAAACAACAUCUCUAAAGUAUAUUUUUAAAGUUACGUACACUUAUUUUAAAAGAAGAGAAUCAUUUCUUUUUAAUUUAUAUUUUUUCACAAAAAAUGGUGUCUAAGUCAUUGUACAAUUCAUGAUUCUAAUAAUACACAAUGUGUAAUGAUUAAGAAUAGCUAUAGACAUCCCUUUUUAUCCAAAAUUGUUUAUUGUAAAUUUUUUAUUAAUUCACAUUAGUUUAUUAUAGAUUAGUCCAAUAUUUAGCUUUUUCAGAUUAUUUUUAUUUGAGCUUUAAUUAUGUUGGAAUGAGCUUAACAGGUCACUUAAGUUUAGGGUUAGUGUCCAAAAUACAAGCUUAGGGUCCAAAGUGCAAACUUAGGGUUCAAAUUGAAAUGAAUCAAUAUAAAUAUAUAUAUAUAUACCCAAAAAUAAAAAUUUAGUAAAUAAAAAUAUAAAAAAAAAUCAAAAGGGAAACAUUUCAUCUUGCAUUACUAGAUUUGAUUCCACAAAAUAAAGAUAAUAAAAGCAAAUAAAAAAACAGGAAAAAUCAACGAAAAGGAAAGAUAUAAAAAAUAAAAGCCAUAAUAUCUUAAAAAGUGUUUAAAUUAUUUAAAAAAUUCAAAUAAACCCUUAUACUUUUAUUGCGUUAGAUCAAACUUUUAUACUUUUAUUUUGAGUCAAAUAAAUUUUUAUAACUAAUAGUUGACUUAGUCAAAAUAUCACUUGUCAUUUUAUAACAUGUUUCACUAAUAUGACACUAACAUGAUAUGUUGACAUGUCAUAAUACAUGAUGACAUGGUAUGUUAAUGUGACAUGAUGACAUGGUAUGUUAAUGUGACAUGAUGACAUGGUCAUAUCACAUUUUUCACCACACGGACAUAAAAUGGUAGUGGAUGUUUUGAUUAUUAGCAAUUAGUCAACCAUUAUUUAUAAGGGCUUAUUUAAAUUUUUUUAAAAAAUUUAUGAAUUUUUUUUAGCAUUAUGGAAAAAUAAAAAGGGGAAGAGAUCCAAAUUACACAUUAAAAAAUCACCUACAAUAUUAUGAAAAUUAUUGAUGUAAAAACUCUUCCCUCUUCCAAAAAAAAAAUCUCUCCCUCUAUUGCUAAUAAAAAUCUCACCAUGCAUUUUUAGAGAUCAAAACGCUUGUUAAAUGUCAAAAAUCAAAUUCUAUUUUUAAAUCUAAUGCUUUAUUUCUUUUUUCCAAAUUAAGCUUAGAAUUGGUUUGGAUGGAAGUUUGAGUGUUCUGACAUAUGUUUGCAAAAAAGCAAUAUUCGAGUCAAAAAGGGUUUCCCUCGGUAUUUUGGAAUUGCUCUUAUAACUUUAAAAUUUAAGCAUUGGUUAGUGUGUAAAAAGGGUGUAUAAACUCUUAUCCUUUGAGCAAUUAAGAUACUAAUUUUUGAAUGAGUUGAUACAUUAAGGCAUUUAAUUUGGAAAAAUUUGGAAAUUAAUUAUGCUUGAUUUAUUAGUACUUAUUAUUAUAUUAUUUACUAUUGCUUGCUGAUGUACCAACACAAUUUGUCAACCAGUUUUUCUUAUGUACCAGCAACUUUUGUUAUGAUUUAAGAGCCUUCUCUCAUAACCAUUUAAAUAUUGAUUAAUUUCUUGCAGGUUUAGUCACCCACAUAAAACAAAUUCUAAAAGGUUUAGAAUAAUUUUUUCUUUCUUGCUGACCUGCGGUUUAGUCAACUGGUGUCAUUAUAUAUACAUAGACAAGAGACCCUGACCAGGCGACGGUAACCCAUCCAACAAAGGAAACAAGAUUACACCAAAGGACACUAACACCGAACAGAAACACAAUCAGCAGCAUCAAGUCUAUGCUACAAUAUUACAGAUUCGUUGUCGACACUGUAACAUCACAGAUACAUACUCAUAAAGCAUACAAACACCAACCAUCCCAAUAAUCAGAAACCAAACUGAAAAUCACCAGCAGCAAUGAAAGCAUGUCCAGAAAACUCCAUCAGCACACCCGCAGAUCUCGACAUUCACAAACCGGAAAAGAGAUGGUAGAACACCCCAUAAACCUGAGAGGCAUCACAAGGAAAAACAUAAUAUCGAACCACCAAGCAUAAAACAUGUCACCACGAUCGACCCCAAUUUUUGCAGGUGAGUCCAUCAUUGAAUUUGCUGCUCGUAGUGUAUGCACGAAGGAAACCAAUUUAAACAACCGAUUUAAGGAAGCGAGUGAAGAUAGCAGCUUUAUCAAAGUCUCCUUCUUCGUGGGCUCGUAAGAUAUUAAACAUAAGAAUAAGCCGAAUCCGAUUGCAAGCUGUUUGCUUCAUAAUCACUUGAGUUUCCUCUCUGAGUUGAUCGCUUUGGCGUUGAACAUCUCCAAACCUUUCUCCUAUAUUUCGUUGCUUCUCUCUUAUGCAUCUUUGAACUUCCCUUAUCUUUCCCAUUUGUGAUUUUAUUCGUUGGAUCCUCACUUUCAAACUCUUCAUUUUUUGUUUGAAAGCCUUCUUCCUCAUGCUCAUCGCCAUUUUAUCAGCUUAAAUUUGAAGCUAAAGUGCUCAAAGAUAUAAUCUUGGAAUGUGUUGAGUGAAAUGCCAUGAAGACUGGAUUGUAUAUUUAUACCAAGUGAAUGUUAGAGAACGCGUCUGAAAUGAAAAGAGGGAGAAAGAGCAGUUAUAUAAAAACGCCAGUGUUGUCUAGGAAUCGGGCGCCGCGGUAAGAGUGGCUGGGAAUGCUCUAUGAGGCAAGAUUAUUGUUAUGAUUGGCUGCUGAUAUUUCUAUGUGGAAUCUUUUCUUGGCUUUUCUUGGUUUUUCUUGCUUCACAAACUUUUUCAGCAAGCGAAUCUUUCUAUGUGAGCCAUUUGUCGAGCGUAUGCUUUAUUUUGUCAAGCUAUCGAUUAACUUUUCAGAAAACUUUUCACUUCAGAAUGCUAUAAUGCUUUGCUCCUCGUUUCUUCUUAUUAUAACAUUUUUAUAUUAUCUUAUUAUUAAAAUAAUAAAAUAUUAUUUGAUGUGAUAUUUGUCUUUGAAAUUAGAAAAGUUUUAAAAUUUAAUUAUUUUUUUAAUUAUGUAUAAUUGAGGAUAAAUUUGUAUAGCUAAUUAAAUUAAUUCAUAAAAUUAUAAUUAUUAAUUAAUUUAUAAUAUCUUUUAAUAUAUAUACUUUAUAUAUAUAUAUAUAUAUUAGAUUCAUUUAUAAAGAAUAUAAUUACCGUUAUAUAUAUAUUGAAAUAUUUUUUAUGUGUGCGUGUGUGUAUAUAUAAAUUUACUUUAAAUAUAAACAUAUUUACUUUCUAUUUUGUGUUAGUAUUAUAAAAAUUAUAACUCAUAAAAUUGUUAAUUACAAUAUACAGACUUAUGUUUAUAUAAACUUAUAACAUAUAAAUAUAAAGGGAAGUUAUGAGAUUAGAAUAGUUAAUUGGAUAAUUGGAUACCCAUGAAGAAGAUUUUAAUAAUGUUUUUAUCUAAUCGGGUAUUUAAACGAGUUAAGGUAAUUGUAGGGUAGUGAUAAUGUAUUAGGGUUAGGGUUAUGGUAGUAAUUUUUAAGAUUAUUCGGAUAGUUAACCAGGUUAAGAUAUUUAAUUUUUAAUAGGGUUAGGGUUCAGGUAGUUCGAAAUUAACAGAUACCCUACCUGUUAACAUCCCUAAUUAAAUUCAGAUUUGAUAUUAUCUAUAUUUGUGUUUUGCCAAAAAAAAAUUUAAGUGAUAAAGUCUUGAAAGAGGUGUGCUCUUUGCCUUUUAGAUGAUCUUUUGAAAAUUCUUUUCCCAUGGAAACUAUUUUGAAGUUUAUAUUGAUAUUUUCCAACAUAGUUUCGUAAGGUAUAUAAAGUCUUGGCUAAAAGUGUUGGGAAUCUUUAAAACUCAUAAGAGUUAAUUUUAAGUGAUCUUCCAAAAUUUCUUCAAUAAGAGACAGUAUCUUAGAGUUUGCAAACAAAAUUUCCAAAAUAAUUUUUUACAGAUAUAGAGACUUCACUAUAUCAUUGAGAGUCUUAAAAGUUACGUACACUCGUUUGAAAGAAGAGAAAUAUUUCUUUUUAAUUUAUGUUUGUUCACAAAAAUUGUCACGACCCGGAACUCCCAUCGAGCCCCUGACAACCGCCGCGACGUCCCGAUAGGCACUCAUUACCCCAAAUGCCGAUCGGAACCCCGCAAGGCUUAGCAUCAGCUUCCGCAUCUCCCCGAUGAGUGACAAUUAUUAAAUCUUGCAUUUCAAGAAAUCAUAAGUCAUUUCCAAAUCAAAAUAAAAAAAAUUAUUUUCUGGCUCAGGGGCAUUUUUGUCAUUUUUCUUCGAUAAUACCGAAACUCGCCAAAAACAUGGUGUAAAAGCUAAAUAUGUUCAUACAUAUUUUAAAUCAGAUAACAAAAAUAUAAAAUUACUUUUACAAUGACACGUGGGCCCCCAACUAACCAAUAAGAUGCGAGUUUGUGAACUUAUAAUUUUGACAACGCAAGGCUAACUAAAGUCCUUGAUGCAAUCGGCUAUCUACCGGCUAUCCCGAACCUGAAAUGUGGGGAAUUGAGGGUGGUGAGAUUAUAAAAUCCCAGUGAGUAAACAGACAUCAUCUAAACUAUCUAAAGGCAAGUAAAUGGAGACAAUUAAAAAAUAAUUAACUUCAGCAAAUUUUUCACAUCACGAAUAUUCAUUUCAACCAAAUAAUCAAUAUGGCUCGUGAAUUACUCAAAACUUGGCUCAUGCCAAAUCCUGUACUCGGUGACACCUGGACCAGGGGUAUCCAACCNNNNNNNNNNNNNNNNNNNNNNNNNNNNNNNNNNNNNNNNNNNNNNNNNNNNNNNNNNNNNNNNNNNNNNNNNNNNNNNNNNNNNNNNNNNNNNNNNNNNNNNNNNNNNNNNNNNNNNNNNNNNNNNNNNNNNNNNNNNNNNNNNNNNNNNNNNNNNNNNNNNNNNNNNNNNNNNNNNNNNNNNNNNNNNNNNNNNNNNNNNNNNNNNNNNNNNNNNNNNNNNNNNNNNNNNNNNNNNNNNNNNNNNNNNNNNNNNNNNNNNNNNNNNNNNNNNNNNNNNNNNNNNNNNNNNNNNNNNNNNNNNNNNNNNNNNNNNNNNNNNNNNNNNNNNNNNNNNNNNNNNNNNNNNNNNNNNNNNNNNNNNNNNNNNNNNNNNNNNNNNNNNNNNNNNNNNNNNNNNNNNNNNNNNNNNNNNNNNNNNNNNNNNNNNNNNNNNNNNNNNNNNNNNNNNNNNNNNNNNNNNNNNNNNNNNNNNNNNNNNNNNNNNNNNNNNNNNNNNNNNNNNNNNNNNNNNNNNNNNNNNNNNNNNNNNNNNNNNNNNNNNNNNNNNNNNNNNNNNNNNNNNNNNNNNNNNNNNNNNNNNNNNNNNNNNNNNNNNNNNNNNNNNNNNNNNNNNNNNNNNNNNNNNNNNNNNNNNNNNNNNNNNNNNNNNNNNNNNNNNNNNNNNNNNNNNNNNNNNNNNNNNNNNNNNNNNNNNNNNNNNNNNNNNNNNNNNNNNNNNNNNNNNNNNNNNNNNNNNNNNNNNNNNNNNNNNNNNNNNNNNNNNNNNNNNNNNNNNNNNNNNNNNNNNNNNNNNNNNNNNNNNNNNNNNNNNNNNNNNNNNNNNNNNNNNNNNNNNNNNNNNNNNNNNNNNNNNNNNNNNNNNNNNNNNNNNNNNNNNNNNNNNNNNNNNNNNNNNNNNNNNNNNNNNNNNNNNNNNNNNNNNNNNNNNNNNNNNNNNNNNNNNNNNNNNNNNNNNNNNNNNNNNNNNNNNNNNNNNNNNNNNNNNNNNNNNNNNNNNNNNNNNNNNNNNNNNNNNNNNNNNNNNNNNNNNNNNNNNNNNNNNNNNNCUUAACUAAAUCACUUAAUUCAAUUAAAUCAACCAAAAAUCAAGCUCAAAACUCAUCCCUGGAGGUUUGGCCAGCAUGGGUGUCCAUACCCACUUUCUGAUUUUGCAUGGAAAUGAGAAAAAAAUGCAUGGGUAGUGAAAAAAACAAGGAAAAUCAAUGAAAUUUGCCUUUUUAAUGCUUGAUUUUUUUAUUUCUCUUGAUUUUCCCCAAAAUUUUUUCAGCUAGGGUUCUUAUUUCUUUUCCCUCCCUUUUUCUCUCCUGUUUUGGACAGCUGAAGAAGAUGAGAAAUCUGGAAUUUUUUACCUUUUUAAAGGCUAAAAUAAUAUAAUAUUAUUUUAUUUAUUUUUUUUGUUUUAUUAAUUCCUUAAAUUCUAGCCAUUUAUUUGUUUCCAAAUUUUCACCAUACACUUGUCCCAUAUAUCCAUAGCUUAGAUAAAUUCUCAGACUUAUCCAAAGUCUUGGUGGAUUAAUUUUUAAAAUUUACACUUUUACCCCCGUAAAAGUCAAAAAUUACAUUUUUACCCCAAAAACUGAAAAUUGCCCAUAGACAUAUUUUCAUCCCUUAUACUCAUAACAUUCUCCAAUUUGUCAAAUUUGAUCUAAAUUCUCUCAAAAUCUCAAAAUUUAUCCGUGGGUGGAAAAAUUACGAUUUUGCUCCUACACUCCAGAAAUCACCGGAAUUAAACUUUUUCAUUGUCAAACUCUCAAAUUAUACCCCAAUACUCAAAUCAUACUCCAAUAAGUUAAAUGGGGCCAAAAAAAUCUUUCCUCAAAAUUCUCAUUUUGUCCCCAAGUGGCAAAUGACCAUUUUGCCCCUAGAAUACUUAAAGUCCGGAUUAACUCCAUAUCGGACCUCAAACUCUGAAUCCUCAUUUUAAAUCAACCCGUGGGUUUUAGUUUUCUCAAAUUCAUCCUCGAUUCUCUAUUUAAACUAGUUCAAGACUUAUUUAACUAAACCGUACCAUUAUGGGCAAUAUCGCCUUUUAACGAUUCCUCGAACUUCCUAAACAUGCAAACAUUCUAUUGAACAUGUAAAUGACGUCGUAAUUAUUUUAUAGUAUAGGGUUUGACAAAAAUUGUGUCUACAUCAUUAUGCAAUUCAUGAUUCUCAUAAUUCAAUGCUCAAAGAUCAAGAGUAGCUAUAGACAUCCCUUUUAUUCGAAAUUAUUUAUUGUAAAAUUUUUAUUAAUUCGCAUUAGUUCAUUAUUGAUUAGUCCAAUUUUUAGCUUGUUCAGAUUAUUUUUAUUUGAGCUUUAAUUACAUUGAAUUAAACUCAACAAGUAAACUAAGUUUAGGGUUAGUGUCCAAAAUACAAACUUAGGGUCCAAAGUGCAAACUUAGGGUUCAAAUUGAUAUGAAUCAAUAUAUAUGUAUAUACCCAAAAAUAACAAAAACUAAAAAAUCAGUAAAUAAAAAUAUAAAAAAAUAUAAAAAAUCAAAAGGGAACAUUUCAUCUUGCAUUAACAGAUUUGAUUCCACAAAAUCAAGAUAAUAAAAGCAAAUAAAAAAUCAAGAAGAAUCAAGGAAAACGAAAGAAAUAAAAAAUUAAACGCCUAAUAUCUAAAAAAGUCUUUAAACUAUUCAGAAAAAUUCAAAUAGGCAUUUAUACUUUUAUUGUGUUCAAACAAACCCUUAUAUUUUUAUUUUGAGUCGAAUAAGCUCUCAUAACUAAUAGUUGAAUUAGUCAAAAUGUCGCUUGUCAUUUUAUGUUAUAUGGCACUAACAUGGCACUAGCGUGGUAUAUUGACAUGUCAUAAUACAAGAUGAUUUGGUAUAUUAAUGUGAUAUGUUGACAUGGUCAUCUCACAUUUUUCAUGCUCUAUAUCAGCACCACAUGGAUAUAAAAUGAUAGUGUAUGUUUUGAUUAUUGGCAAUUAGUCAACCAUUAUUUAUAAAAGAUUAUUUGACAUAAAAUAAAAGUACAAAUGUUUGAUUAAACAAAAUAAAACAAUAAGGGCUUAUUUAAAUUUGUUUUAAAAGUUUGCGCAUUUUUUUUACCAUUAUGACAAAGUAAAAAAGGGGAAGAGAUGAAGUCCAAAAAUUCCUGAUUAUUUCUUGUGGUGCAACAUAUACCACGUUUUUUUACCAUUAUCAGGUAUAUUUCCUGAUAAUUUGUUAUCACUGAAGUCCAAAAAUUCCAACAUAAAACAAUUCCCUAAAGAUGAAGGAAAUGGUCUUGAGAAGCUAUUGCCGCGUAAACUGAGCAUUCGAAGCAUUCUAAGAGAUCCAAUCGAUCUUGGAAUUGAGCCUGACAAAUUGUUCUCAGCCAAAUUCAAAGCUUUAAGUGAGAGCCGCCAUCUUGCCAAGCAAUCGGGAAUUACUCCAGAAAAUAAGUUAUUUGAGAGAUCAAGCAACUUCAAUAAUUUAGCAGGAAUGUUGCAAAUUGAUUUGAUUGAACCAGAAAAUUUAUUUUUGGAAAGGUUCAAGGUAGACUACCAAUUUGUCAUUUGUGGCAAUGGGCCUGUUAAAUUAUUGGAGCUACUACAUUUUCUGCUUACCUACUACAUUUUUAGCAAGUUUUGAGAUUUUCGAUGAAAAAUGACGAAAAUGCCCUUGUGAGCCAGAAAACAAUAUGCUAUGUUCUGAUUUGGAAAUGACUCGUAAUCCUUCGAAUUAUGAUUUUUGAUGACUAUUGUUCACCAGGAAGUGCGAAAGCUGAUACGAGAGCCUUGCGAGGUUUCGAUCGGCAUUUGGGGUGAAGAAUGUCUGUCAAGACUUCGCGACGGUUGUCACAGGCUCGAUGAGAGUUCUGGGUCGUGACAAGAAUAGUUAAUUGGAUAAUUAGGUAUCCAUGAAGAAGAUUUUAAUAAUUUUUUAUCUAAUUGGGNAGAAAAUAAUUUAUUUUAUUGAAUAUUUUUAUUAUAUUCAAAAGGUCAAAUUUUCACUUCAAAUGAAUGUUUAGAUACUUAAUUUUUUUUAAAUCACUAAAUACAUAUAUUUUCUGCUUACCUACUAUAUUUUUAGCAAGUUUUUAGAUUUUCGACGAAAAAUGACGAAAAUGCCCUUGUGAGCCAGAAAACAAUAUGCUAUGUUCUAAUUUGGAAAUGACUCGUAAUCCCUUGAAUUUUGAUUUUUGAUAACUAUUGCUCACCAGGAAGUGCGAAAGCUGAUACGAGAGCCUUGCGGGGUUUUGAUCGGCAUUCGGGGUAAAGAAUGUUUGGUGAGACUUCGCGACGGUUGUCACAGGCUCGAUGAGAGUUCUGGGUCGUGACAAGAAUAGUUAAUUGGAUAAUUAGGUAUCCAUGAAGAAGAUUUUAAUAAUUUUUUAUCUAAUUGGAUAUUUAAACGGGUUAGGGUAAUUAUAGGGUAGUAAAAAUGUAUUAGAGUUAGGUUUAGGAUAAUAAUUUUUAAAAUUAUUUAGGUAGGCAAUAGGGUUAGGGUAUUUGAUUUUUAAUAGAGUUAGGGUUUGGGUAUCUAGAAAUUAAUGGGUACCCUAUCCCGUUGACAUCCCUAAUUAAAUCCAGAUUCGAUAUUAUCUAUAUUUGUCUUUUGCCAAAAAAAAAUUAAGUGAUAAAGUCUUGAAAUAGGUGUACUAUUUGCUUUUUAGAUGAUCUUUUGAAAAUUGUCUUUACCAUGGAAACUAUUUUGAAGUUUAUAUUGACAUUUUCCAACAUAGUUUCGUAAGGUAUAUAAAGUCUUGGCUAAAAGUGUUGGGAAUCUUUAAAACUCGUAAGAGUUAAUUUUAAGUGAUCUUCCAAAAAUUCUUCAAUGAGAGACAAUAUCUUGGAGUUUGCAAACAAAAUUUCCAAAAUAUUUCUUUACAGAAAUAGAGACUUCACUAUAUAGUUGAGAGUCUUAAAAGUUACGUACACUUGUUUGAAAGAAGGGAAACAUUUCUUUUUAAUUUAUGUUUGUUCACAAAAAUAGUGUCUACAUCAUUAUGCAAUUCAUGAUUCUCAUAAUACAAUGCGCAAUGAUCAGGAGUAGCUAUAGACAUCCCUUUUAUUCGAAACUAUUUAUUGUAAAUCUUUUAUUAAUUCGCAUUAGUUCAUUAUUGAUUAGUUCAAUUUUUAGCUUUUUCAGAUUUUUUUAUUUGAUCUUUAAUUACGUUGAAUUGAGCUCAACAAGCAUAUUAAGUUUAGGGCUAGUGUCCAAAAUACAAACUUAGGGUCCAAAGUGCAAACUUAGAGUUCAAAUUGAAAUGAAUCAAUAUAUAUGUACAUACCCAAAAAUAACAAAAACUAAAAAAAUCAGUAAAUAAAAAUAUAAAAAAUAUAAAAAAUCAAAAGGGAACAUUUCAUCUUGCAUUAACAGAUUUGAUUCCACAAAAUAAAGAUAAUAAAAGCAAAGAAAAAAACAAGGAAAAAUCAAGGAAAAGGAAAGAAAUAAAAAAUAAAAGGCCUAAUAUCUAAAAAAGCCUUUAAACUAUUCAAAAAAAAAUCAAAUAGGCCUUUAUACUUUUAUUGCGUUCAAACAAGCCUUUAUACUUUUAUUUUAAGUCAAAUAAUCCCUCAUAACUAAUAGUUGAAUUAGUCAAAAUGUCACUUGUCAUUUUAUGUUAUAUGGCACUGACAUGACACUAAUGUGGUAUAUUGACAUGUCAUAAUACAUGAUAAUUUGGUAUAUUAAUGUGACAUGAUGACAUGGUCAUAUUGCAUUUUUCACCCUCUAAGUUAACGUCACAUAAAUAUAAAAUGAUAGUGAAUAUUUUGAUUAUUGACAAUUAGUCAACUAUUAUUCAUAAGGGCUUAUUUGACUUAAAACAAAAAUACAGAAGUUUAAUUGAACAAAAUAAAAAAAUAAGGGCUUAUUUAAAUUUUCAUGAAAAUUUUAUAGAUUUUUUUUUACAUUAUGGCAAAAUAGAAAAGGGAAGAGAUCCAAAUUAUGCAUUAACAACUCACCUACAAUAUUAUGAAAAUUAGUGAUGUAAAAACUCUACCCUUUUCGAAAAAGAAACCUCUCUUCCUCUAUUGCUAAUAAAAAAAUUUUAUAUUUUGAAAAAUAUGGUUCCAACUGGAUUUUAUAGUAGUUUCUCACCACGCGUUUUUAGAGAUCAAAAUCCUUGUUAAAUGUCAACAAUCAAAUCCUAUUUUUAAAUCUAAUGGUUUAUUUCUUUUUUCCAAAUUAAGCUUUGGAUUGGUAUGGAUGGAAGUUUGAGUAUUCUGACAUAUGUUUGCUAAAAGCAAUAUUAAAUUUAAAAGGUGUUUUCCUUGGUAUUUUGAAAUAGCUCUUAUAACUUUAAAAUUAAAGCUUUUGUUAGUGUGUAAAAAGGGUGUACAAACCCUUAUCAAUGUGCCAACAGAUCCUUUGAGCAAUUAAGAUACUAAUUUUUGAAUAAGUUGAUACAUUAAGGCAUUUAAUUUGGAAAAAUAUGAAAACUAAUUAUGCUUGAUUUAUUAGUACUUAUUAUUAUAUUAUUUACUAUUGCUUGCUGAUGUAGCCACACAAUUUGUCAACCAGUUUUCUUAUGCAUGAGCAACUUUUGUUAUGAUUUAAGAGCCUUCUCUCAUAACUAUUUAAAUAUUGAUUAAUUUCUUGCAGGUUUAGUCACCCACCUAAAACAAAAUUCUAAAAGAUAGAUCUCUCAAGUGUUCGCAGUACUCCCUUAUUAGAAUAACUAGAAUAUUACCCGUGUGCAACAUACGGACCUCUUUAUACUCCUCUCUUUUGCUUCAACGUCUUUUCUCUUUUCACUCUAUUUGCCCUUCACGUGGUUCACUCUGACGCCUUUGCACCCCUCUCUUUCUCUCUCUUUGCUUCAACAUCUUUUCUCUUUCACUGUCUCUGCCUUCCACACAGUUAACUCUGGAACCCUCAGGCUUUUUUUUAUGUAUGUUAUAAAAGUCACAACUUUCCACAUAGCAGCUUAGGGGAACAAAAACGUGGCCAAAUAUAGAGCCAAGUUUAAAUCUUCAAAUUAUUUCUUUCUUGCUGACCAUCGGUUUAGUCAACUGGCCCAUCCAAGAAAGGAAAACAGUUUACACCGGAAGACACUAACACUAAACAGAAACACAUGCAGCAGCAUCAAGUCUAUACUACUCAUAAAGCAUACAAACACCAAAGUGGUGAACACCAACCAUCCUAAUAAUCUGAUCUUGAUAACUAGAACAGAAACCAAACUGAAAAUCACCGGCAGCAAUGAAAGCAUAUCCAGAAAACUCCAUCAGCAGACCCCCGGAUCUCAACAUUCACAAACCAGAAAAGCAUAAGAAUAAGCCAAUCUGAUCAUUGAUUUCGCUGCUCGUAGUGUAUGCACGAAGGAAACCAAUUUAAGCAACCAAUUUAAGGAAGCGAGUGAGGGUAGCAGCUUUAUCAAAGUCUCCUUCUUCCCGGGCUCCUAAGAUAUUGAACAUAAGAAUAAGCCGAAUCCGAUUGCAAGCUGUUUGCUUCAUAAUCACUUGAGUUUCCUCUCUGAGUUGAUCGCAUUGGCGUUUAACAUCUCCAAACCUGUCUCCUAAAUUUCGUUGCUCCUCUCUUAUGCAUCUUUGAUCUUCCCUUAUCUUAUCCAUUUCCGAUUUUAUUCGUUGGGCCCUCACUUUCAAACUCUUCAUUUUUGGUUUGAAAGUCUUCUUCCUCAUGCUCAUCGCCAUUUUAUCAGCUUAAAUUUGAAGCUCAAAGAAAACUAAAGCUGAAUGAGUUGGAGAUUUAAUCUUCGAUUGUGUUGAAUGAAAAGCCAUAAAGACUGGAAUAUAAAUAUACAUCUAACAAGUUACUGUUAGCGAACCGCGUCUGGUGUUCGGAGGAAAAACAAUAGAAUAAGGAAGAUGAAGAGAAACCGGAGUGAAAGGAGGAAGAAACAGCAGUUACAUAAUGAGGCCAGCAAUCGAACGAUUUUCAAGUGUUAAUAUAUUCCCAAGUGUAAGCGUCGCUCGGUUUCUCAAGUGUUAUCGAGCGAUUCCUUUUGUUAUGACUGAAUGAAACACAAGACUAUCGGUUUGGCUGACAUCCACUUAAUAUAUUCUCGUGGUCCCACACUGUUACUGCAAAAGUAUUUUAUUACGUCACAUACUUUUUCUUUGUGUAUUAUUUAUAUUAUUUUAUUCCUGAUAGUAGUGUUAUGUAAUAUGUAUUAGGAGUAAGAAACAAGAAUGAGGUCACCGCAAAGGUACUCCGUUAAAUACUUCAAAAAAAGGGAUAAACAAAGGUCUUUUAAAUUAAUUAAACUUCACCAUCAGCUUUUUUCAAUCAUUUGCAUGGUAUAUACAAAGACCUUCACAGCGAAUGAGAUUACACAAAUUAAAAUUGUUCAUAUAGAGAUUAUUGAAAGUUAAAGAGGGUGCAAAAUUACACAUAAUAUGUCUCCCCAUUCACAUAAUUGUUCAUAAUAUGUCUUAUCGAGCGAUUGCUUUUGUUUUGAGAGAAUGAAACACAGAUUAUUAGUCUGUUUUUAUUAUAGUGUUUCUACUAUAGUCUUGUGUGACUGGAAGUGACAGAUUAUUGGUGUGGUUGUUACAUCGAUUUAAUAUUCUCGUGGUCACAGCGUUAUGAUUUGCUUCUCAUAUUUUCUAGGAACUUCAUUUUCUUGGCUUUUGUGGCUGAAUAUGUCGUUCAAUUCACGUCACACUUAAACUUCAAAUACAAAGGUCAGUAAAGUCUAUUAGCAAUUCACGCCAAAGACAAGUUCUAGAAACCAAUAGAAACAAGGCACAUAAACGACAGAAUUAGAGAUGAAUGGAUUUCGUUUAAUUCCAACAAAUCCCUCCGUCAGAUUAAUUAGUUUUCAAUCUUCACCAUGCAAGCAUCUUCUAGAACUUGUAGAACACAUCACUCUUUAAUGGCUUUGUAAAGAUAUCUGCAAGUUAGUCUUUAAACUAGCAAACUCCACCUCAAUCUCAUGGUCUUUUACCAAAUCCCGACAGUAGUGAUGUUUGAUAUUGAUAGGUUUGUUGUGAGCAUGGAACACCAGAUUCUUUGUCAAUGCCACAUGUUCUCUGCUUCAGCUCCUAAGUUAAUCUCUGCACAAAAGGAUGAAUCCCUGAUAAUUAGGAUAGUGAUGAACUUGUUAGGGAGUUAAACAAGAAAAGGUGUUUUUCAGCAAAGAAAGACACAGUUGCUCUGAAAACAAAUUCAUGACCUGAAAUUAAAAAGGUAUGCUUUACUUUAAUUUGAAAAUAUAUUAUUCCCCCUGAAGUCUGGAAUUCCCCAUGGUUAGCCAUUUUUGUGUUGCAUCCCUCUUAAAUGCUUUUGAGGGAUAAAGUUGUCCGGUUUGAACAUACUAACUAUUUAUGCACUUGAUGUGGUGUCUAUGAUGAGGAUUGUCGAUUUGUCGUCAUGUUCUACUUUCCUGCAAUUCUUCAUCAAUUAUGUGGUGUUGUGUUCUCAAGUGACGGGGAUUUAAACUCUGUAGAAAAUUUUAUCAAGUCUUGUGAUGGUGUCUUGAAAAAGAAAUGGUUGGCAGUGUGUGGUGCUAGUUUAUAGUACUUAUGGAUUGCAAGGAAUGAGUUAGUUUCCAAUGGGAAAAGGUUGGAUAAAGAAGAAACAAUCUUCUUCAUCUCUAAGCAAAAGGUGGGAUCAAAUGAGAUCUAUAUUUAGCAUCUAAGUUGUUUAGCUAAGCAAAAGGGGUAGACCCCCUUCAUACACAACCUGCUUACGAUAAUCAAGAAAGGAAAAAAACAUGGUUGCAUUUUGGAUCAAACUACAUAAGAACUAACUCCUCUCCUUAUUCUAUUAAAUCAAAUGCCAUAACAUAUGAGUCUAAAAGUUCAACCAGUCGAUGUGAAAGAAAAAUAGCCAUCAAUAAUUUUUUUUUUUUGUAGUGAUUAGUUACCUAGGUGAAUCUAUCUUUCCUAAGAAGGUCUUAUGCUUGACUUAAGUUCAUUAAAAAAGAUACAUUUCAAUCUACAAAAUAGACUAAGCUUGGGGAUACGGUUACAUGUAAGGAAGGUAAUUAGCAGUCCCAUAACACUCAUCCUAAAAAUGGUUAUUUAUUUCUAACUUAGGAGUUUUCAAGAAAUUAUCACCAUAACUUUAUCAAAUUCCAUCAUUUGAGAAUUGUUAUUUAUUUGCAUUUUUGUGCUUAUUUAUUUAUUUUGUUUUAUUAUUUUUGUUAUUUUUAUUAUUAUUAUUUAUGCAAAUCCUUUUUGUCAAAAAAUUUUCCAAAUUCUCCAACACUUACGACAAAAUUAUAAAAAUUACAAUAAAGAAAAAUGAAGUAAAGAAAAGUAAAUAGAUAAAUAAAGAAAAUAAAAAGGAAAAAACUAGAGAGUUAAAAAUUUGUUUUUACAUCGAACUAUGUGUAUGAAAAAAAACAAACAAUAACAUAAAAAACAUAUUCUAGUGAGUCUUAAAACCCAAGGAAGUAGCUCAUUUUUUUUAUGUUGCAAAUUUUCUCAGGAGCCAACUACCCUGUGGUAGUUUUAUCAAUAAAAAAAUUAAACAUACAAAAAAAAAAAAGACAUAAACCUUAUUUCUGAAUUUACAUGUUUACAAAAUGCAAUUGAAAAAGGUCUACUCAAGGCAAUGCUAUUUUGAAGUUAGUAUAUAAUGCCUCACUUGGCUUCUUUUAUUUAUUUCUCUGCUUCCUUUUCUCUCUCUAGUAAUACCCCUCUCUCUAUUUUGCCUUAAACCAGUCAACGAACCACCAUCGUCGUUCCCAUCGCUACCAACCAUUAUUCACUCAAGUCAGAUGUAGACACCCCAUUUCGUACGAGUGUUUUGCCAAUCGUUGAGAAAAUUAAAAAACCAAAGUGUUAAAAAGGGCCCUUAUCGUAAUCCAAUCAGUUCAUUCUAAUCUUAUCGUAAUCUAAUCGGAUAAGGAAAAAAAAGAAAAAAACAACUUAAAUCCAACCAAAAUUCAAGAAAAAAAAUUAAAAUUAAACACAACAAUAAUGGGUAUAAAAAACCCAUUCAUCAACAACCAAAAGACAUUUAUCAACACAAAAUGAACAAUAAGAAAAAUUAAAAGAAAAUCAACAAAGAAAAAUAAAAGGGGCAUUCAGGUUUCUUGGUGAGGGAUGUUUGGUUUUCUCUAGAUUUAAGGAUAUUUAGGUGGUUUUAGGAAAAACGGUUUUGAUGAAAUGGACAAACGACUAGAAAGGAGUGAGAAGGUGAAAUUUGGACAAAUCUAGCAUCGACGAGUGACAGCUGGCACGACAAUAAUCUGAUGACCGAAAUCUAGACAGAUAGUGGAAGUAAGUUCUACAAAGAGAAGCUCUAGUAUAGAGAAAGGAAGGGAAUAAGAGAAAUAAGGAAAAGGGAGUUAAGGGGCAUUUUAUACAAGAUCUAAAACGACAUCAUUCAAGCCUCAAACAAUGUCAUUCCGCACUUAAAGACAAAGGAAGCAUGUGGCCUAGAUGCAACCAACCUGUGCCACAACCCGCAUUUAGAUAAGUUUAAGCAUUAAUGUUUAAGCAUUAAUGAUAUUCUUAAAUAAUAUUCUUAGGGUCAGAAAAUUAUUAAAAAAUAGAAUAAUGUAAAAAUAAGGAUAACAAAAUAUAUAUAAAAAUGAUAAAAGUAUAAACAUUUUAGAAAAAGUUUAGUUAUACGAAGAACGUAAGCUUAGGAGAAUAUUUACUACAAAUAUAAAUAACUCUUAAAAUAUAUAUAUAUAUAUACAUAAAACAAAAAAAAAAUAAAAUAAAAUAAAUAAUAAUAAAUAAUAAAAUAAAAAUAUAAUGACAUUAACUAUAAGUAUAAUAUACCGAUGAUGGGAUGAUCGGUCGGGAAGCUAGAAAUCGCAAUCCCGGGCUCAUGUUUUCUAAGUUCGGAAUCCGAAUCAAGGCUCUACCAGUACGAUGGGAGGGCCUCGAUUUCAAAAUCUCAAAAUUUUUUAAUAAAUAAAGAAUUUGAUUAUACAAAGUUAUUCAAUAAAAAUAAUAAAUAAAUAACCAUAGAUAAAAAAAGAAUAAAAUAUAAAUAAAAAUNNNNNNNNNNNNNNNNNNNNNNNNNNNNNNNNNNNNNNNNNNNNNNNNNNNNNNNNNNNNNNNNNNNNNNNNNNNNNNNNNNNNNNNNNNNNNNNNNNNNNNNNNNNNNNNNNNNNNNNNNNNNNNNNNNNNNNNNNNNNNNNNNNNNNNNNNNNNNNNNNNNNNNNNNNNNNNNNNNNNNNNNNNNNNNNNNNNNNNNNNNNNNNNNNNNNNNNNNNNNNNNAAAAAUAUAAAAAUAUAAAAAAAUACAAAAAGAUAAAAUAUAAAUAAAAUAAAAAAUAUAUAAAAUUUUUGUCACAAAGUAACAUGGAAUCAUAAACAAUUUAUCUAAUUAUAAAAGGAAAAUAUGAGAGUAACUUAAAAUAAAAGAUGUAAAGUAUAAAAAAAAAUAAUUAGAAAGAAAAUAGAAAAUAUGAUAAUAAAAAAUAAAAUAAAAUGAAAAUAAUAAUUAAUAAUAAAAAAUGGACAAUUGCAUUAGCAUAGUAUGUACAUAUAUAUUGCAUCAUGCAUAUCAUUGCAUAUGAAUAUUUAUGUUUUCGAGUUUAAUCCCCGAUGAUGGGAUCUUCCGAGGAUCUUGCGAAGGCGGGUAUUUCUUGAAAAGUUUCCUAGGUGAAAAGAUGUCCUCGGAUCCCACUAGUAUGAUGGGAGGUCUCGAGAAGCAUAUUUAAUAAAAGGCUUUUGCCUGAAUUAGGUUCAUUAUGCAUGAAAAUGAUAUUUUAAAAGAAAACAUACGAUGACUUCGAUGAUGGGAUUUAUUCGUCGAAUUUACGAACGCGAAUUUCUCAGAUAAUUCCUUAGGUGAGAGAACACACCGGGUCCCACCAGUAUGAUGGGCGGAUCUGAGAGAAUGUUCUCGAUAAAAAGUUAUUCGUCCGAUAUAUUUUUAUCCCACGCCAUGCAUUUCAUCUUGCCUCACAUUUGCAUUCCAUUUUAGGUUAAAUAGGAGAUAAAAUAAGAGAAUAAUAACUAAGAAAAUAUAGUGAAAUUAAAAAUUAAAACAUAAUAGGAUAAUCUAAAAAUGGUACCGUUCAUGGAACGGGAGUCCUAGGGGUGCUAAUCCUUCCUUGAGCGUAACCGUACUCCCGAACUUAGAUCUAAAAAAAAUGUAGACCAGUUUAAGGUUCUUUUCGAUGGGCUUAAAAUUAAUUUAAAGCUUUAUCGAUUAGAAUCGAGUCAAUAGGUGGCCAAUCGCACCUAGAAAAAAAGAUCGGUGGCGACUCCUAGUUUUUAGAGUUUUCACUCGCGUCUGGCGAUCGGGUUUCCGGACCUGCACUUUACGACAGUGUCUGACUCCUUUUUUUUAUUGUAAAUUCAUUUGGGUUGUUUUGGUGUAUUUAGAUAAGUUAGUAAUUAGUUACAUAUUCGUUCAAGCCAUAAGCUUGUGAGAUUGAGUGUGUAAAACUCUCAUUGGUUGUAAGAAUCAGUGUGAAAUAUUCAAUGUUGGAAGUAUUUGUUGGGUUUGUAUAACAUGAGAUCUCACAUUUUAAAAGAUUGGUAGAAACUAUUAAUUCUUUUAAUUUAAUGAAUUUGGAUUUAAAAAUUCUUGACAAGCAUUGUCGAGGCAAUGGAUGUCGUUUGGGAUCAACAAGUUAAAGUUUUAUAUCCAAAAUUUAUGUUGUCAAAAAUAAAGUAUUUUUGUUGGUAUUAUAAACCAUGUGAAAUUUUAAUUAGCAAAUGAAAGUUUCAGCAUGCAAAAGAAACUGCUUUUUUAUUUUUUAGUUCAUCCAAAUCUCUUGGAGGGUUAUUCUUCUUUAUCAAUUAUGAACACCAUAUGAUACGAAAUAAUGAGAAGUGCUAGAAUUUUGAGGAGAAGAAAACCCAAUCAUCUCUUCCUGUCAAAGUAUUUAAGUUUAAUUUUUCUAAUAUAUUGUGAUUAUUUUUUAAAACAAAUAAAUCUCCUGUUAAACAAUAACUUGCUGUUCAGUUAAAGGGCUAACUUAACAAAAUCUUGUAAAAGAGACAGAGGUUGGGGCACGCUACUGAAUUUCCUUUGGUUGGUUUUACAAGUCCUUUUAGCAUAGCAAAUAAGUAAGAGACAUGCGAUACGCGUUGGUUUUCAUAAACAAACAUGCUGUAAUCGGGCGAGAGUAGACAGAAAGGAGCUUUGUUGAUUUCAUCUAGAUUGACUAUCUGCAUAUACAAUCUACGACUAUGAUGUCCAUCAAUUUUCUUCUUUCGUUCGAGAUUUAGACUAAAUCUGUCCAGACUUAGUCAACAAUUUGGCGUAACAACCACGACUAGGGUGGCCAUUUUGUGGACAUUUAUACAUAUAUAUCAAGCUAAAUAUAUGCAUAACUUGAGUCCAUCAAACCAGGGGCUUGUGAGCAACGAUGGUUCGCUGGGCAGAAGCAAGAACAUGUCUCCCUUUACCGCAGCACUAAAUUCAAGAUUACUGCCAAGGGAACGUCAGGUUUUUCUUUCUACUUCUUUGUUUUUUCUCGAAAAGUAACCAAGUUGUUCUUUUGGCUGGCAAGCAGAAUUUAUUAAUAGUAAACAACAAUAACUUUUCGUCAGGGUCCAUUAGUCUUUAAGAAUAUUUAUUUGAAGUCGCUAUUCCAAUAACAUUAUAUAUCUCUACUAUUUAGUUGUCAGCCAACACUCUUUAAAAUUAUAAAUUUAGUAGAAAUUUACAACGUUAGAGUUCAAUAAUUCAAUUUAAAAAUUCGUGAAAUUUGCAAUCGGAAACCAUUAAAUGAAAAUUAAAUAUGAAAACAUAUAUGUAUACAUGAAAUUUAGUAUUGUUCGUUUUUUAUUUACAUGAUGGUUCCUUUUAUAUCAGAAAAGAAGGAAGUUGAAAAAGCAGGGCACCAGUAUGAUGAGGGGGUUGACAGCACAGAUGGAAGAGGUUACUUCGGAACAAGAAAGGAGGAAAGAGGAGCAAAGACAGCUAAAAGACAAACUUAAAGCCAUAGAAGCUAAAUGUGACCAACUCCGCUAAGGGACCGCCAUCGUAAUACAGCAGAGUGCCAGCACCCAAAUCCGGCUCGCUCUCAUGUUUCAAAUCUUAAGAGCAAGAGAAAAUAGAGACUUUACCAAAGCAGCCCAACUUGCAUAAUCUCUUCGGUACUUUUCUUCAUAAUCUUAAGGAAGAAUGAACUCAUGACUUAAUGAAACACAACUGUUUUUUUUUUUUUUUCUUUUUCCUUUCAAAACUUUGAUGGCUAAUUCAUAUUACCUUUCAUUCUUUUCAUCUCCUCUUUGUAGUGAACUCAUAAUGAAACAGAAGGCAUAGUUGGGAGUAUUUGGCGGUGGCUUGCUUGAUCAAGCAUUGCUUCAUUCCAGAAUUUCAGCUAAAUUUCUUUGUUUUAUUAUCAAUUUUUGCACUUUCUUAUUGGAUUUUAGCCAUCGUAGAUUGUGGUAGUGAUUUAUAGUUUAUACAAAUAUAUGUUGAAACAAUAAUCAUUGUGUAAAAUUAUAAUAAUAUAAAUAAUGGGUAUUUCUAUAUGCAUUUUUCUUAUUAUCUUUUCUGGUGUUUAAGUGGAAGUAUUUGUAUCGUAUAUUGAAACAAUAAACUGUACUUAAAGUAUAAUAAUACAAAUAUAUAUAUAUAUAUAUAUAUAUAUAAUGAGAGAUCUACUAUGCACUAUAAUAAAAAAAGAGCUGAUUCUGUUCUUUUAAUGAGCAGAAAAACAAAUCUAGCAGAAAACAUUAUAAUGAGGAUUAUAUACAAGUAAGGGCAGCUCAAUAUCUUUAAAGGCCUAAAGCAUUUAAAUAUUUAAAUGAGACCCUUUUUAUUGAAAUUAAAAAAAAAUUAACGUUAAUUGGAGAUCAUUUAAAACAUAUUACGUUCAUUGAAAAUACGAAAAAUAAUUGAGAAUUAUUAAUAUUAUGGGAAUUGAGAAGUAAUAAAAAAAAGAUUUAUUAGGUGCAUAAUAAAAUUAUAGGACCUAUAAAAUUGUGGGGUCUGAAACAAGGGCUACAGUGACUUUAUGCUAAAGUCGGCCUUAUAUACAAGUUGAAAAAGAACCCUACUACUAAAAUAAUUACAGAAAAGCUCUAUCUUUGUUCAGUAAUUACAAUUAACUCAUAUGCUUACAAAUAUCAACACAUCCCCUCAAGAUGAGCAUGUAUAUAUAUUUUCAAUACUUAUCUUGCCAAGUAAGGUAUGGAGUUGAGCUAGUUGCAGUGCUUUUGUAAAAAAUAUUUGCAAGCUGCAAUUGUGUGGGAACAUAGUUUGGAACCAUUUUUCCAUUCAAUACCUUUUCUUUUAUGAAAUAGUAAUCUAAUUCAAUAUGCUUUAUCCUCUCGUGGAAGAUUGGGUUACUACAUAUGUGCAAAGUCGAUUGACUGCCACAAAAUAACUCUACUGCUUUAGCACUUUUUAUGCCAAAGUCUUUAAACAAAUAUAAAAAACACAUAAUAUUUCACAACAAGUGGAAGCCAUUGCUCUGUAUUUUGCCUUUAUUGAGUUUUUGGCCACCACAGUCUAUUGGUUUGAUUUCCAACUUAUAAGAGAAAUACCAAGAAAUAUGCCAAAGCUUGUGAUAGAUUUUCUAGUAUCUUGACAACUGGCUAGUCAUUAUUAGAAUAAGUUUUAAUGCCAAAUUUGCAUUUGAAGAUAAUAGUAUACCUUGGGCUAUUGUACCCUUAAGAUUACUUAAAACCCUAUGUGCAACUUGCAUAUGAACAAUGGAUGGCUUAUCUAUGAACUAAGACAAGCCUAGCACUAUAAACAUAAUAUUUAGUCUGGUAAUAGACUUACCAUCCAAUUAUUUGUAGCUGGUUGAGUUUUCUAUCAAGGGAUUAUCACUACACCUAGACAUUUUUUUACUGUAAUCAAUUGGAGUUAGUGCUAGCUCAAAACCAAGAAACCCAUAUUCACCAAGUGAAUCCAAUGUGUAAUUCCUUUAGCAAACUAAUAUGCCCUUCACUGAUCUAGCAAUCAUCUCCAAGCCUAAGAAAUAUUUAAGAUUUCCCAAAUCCUUUAGCUUGAAAUUGAAUCCAAGUGUUAUUUAACUUCAUAUGGAAGUUUUACAAAGGAGCUAGUUGCCAAUAUGUCAUCAACAUAACCCAAACGAGCUAAAAGUUGUUGCUAGUAAUUCUGGUAAAUAAUGAGUAAUCUAAAUUUGAUUGAGCAAAACCAAAUUGAAGUAGUAAAUUUGUAAGCUUUCAAUUCUUUUAGCUUUGAAAUGACAAAAUUCAAUGAUCUAAUUAUUCUUGUGAGCUUAAAAGAAAUGUUUCUGAAAUGGAAGAACUUUCCUUCAAAAGGUUUUAAAGCUAUUUGUGAAAAAUACAAUCAUUUGAAUGCUUCAAAAACAAGUUUGAGCAAAGAAAAAUUGACUUCUGUAAGCGAGGUAAGGAUUCCCUGAAAGAUAGAAAACUAUAUUUUUUCUUUGCAAUAGGAAGGAAUCAACUUGUUAAGAAGAGAAGCAUCAAUUCUAAAAAAACUGAAGGUUACUAGAUUGGAAGGAUCGAUCUCUCAAGAAGUGAAAGGUUGAUUCCUAUAAAGGCAGAAGUAUAAAGAAGAGGGAUUGGACAGAAAGAACCGACUUCUCAAGUCUCCAAUGAUCUAUUCCUUAAGGCAAAAUGAAGAAAGGUCAUAACAUUAUAAACAAGUUAAAGGGGGAGAAUUUGAGCGAAAAACCAAAAUUUGAAAUUUUAAAGUAGUGUUCUAAGGUCAUAAAGAGCAUCAGGAUUAAUGUUGAAAAACAAGGAGAAUCAACUACUCAAUGGAGCAAUGGUUGAUUCCUAAAAAACAAAAAGCAUCAAGAUCGAUGCUCAAGCAUGAACAAUCGACUUGUGAAAAGUAGAAUGAUCGAUUCCUUGGAAACAAAAUGUCCCAAGGUAUGGAAGAGUUUACUGCUCAAAUGGGCAAUGAUCGAUUCUUGACUACCGACAGACAUGAUUCAAGUGGCCUCAAUGUUUUGAAUUUUUGAAUCCCCUUUCUUUUUAAUGGGUAGAUUUUAAGAGAGGCUAUAAAUACCAUCAAGAACUCCAUUUCAACCACAAGAGAGAAUAAAAAAAAGAGAGAAAAAAGCUUCAUCCCAAGAGGAGAGAUAAGCUUUAGUUCUCAAGUUCAUAUCUUUCUCACUUUAUAAAUCCUUUUAAAAACAGAGCAUUAGCCUCGAGCUUAAAUACUUUGAUAUUUCUUCAUUCUCUUGUACUUGAAGCCCCUCGAUUUGCCUAGCUAGAAGCACCACACUUUGUAAUCCAUUCUUGAAAAGUUAUACCUCCUUGAAAAGGUAGAUAGGUUAUACUUAAGCCUUGAGAAAAUAAGCUUGGUUAUACCUCAAUUGCAAAAGGUAGAUAAGUUGUGCUUUAACCUUGAAAAGGUAAUGACUUGUUGAUAGGUUUGUUUGAUCCUAAAAUGGCAAUUGGCUAUACAGGUUAUUCUUGAUCUUAGUUGAGAAAAGUAGCAUCUUUAGUGGAUUCAAACUCCUUAUGAUGCCAAAGGAAAAGACAUAGGCAUUGUAAGGCCAAACCUCUAUGAAAGUCAUGUCAAGUGUUAUCUUUCUUUUUUCCUCAUUUUUACUUGCCUUAAUUAUCUUUGCUUGCAUUUAUAUUCUUGGUUGAUCUUGUUUAGUGCUUAAAGUUUUAAGCUUUAAUUGAUAUUAAGGGAAAGGUGAAAUCUUUUGUUUAAAAUCCAAUUCACCUCUCUUCGCCAUGUAUCGCAAGCUUAUUUAUCUAACAAAUUUCACUGUUGACAAGCUUGUUUCAAGCCAUAGAGUGAUUGUUGCAAAUUACACAUAGGUUUAGAAUAUGUGUUGCAUGCACCUUAAAGCUCAUAUGUCAAGACUAAAACCCAAGAAGCCAUAACUUGUGGAAAGCUAUCAAUAAGAGUAACCCACUUAACUUAAGCAAGCCUCUAAACAAAUAAAUCUAAUUACUCAAAAUUCAUCAUAGGACUCAUCACCAUGGUGUUAGGUAUAAGCCUUGCAGCCAACCAGAUUGCUCAAGGUUUAUAUCCUUAAUCAUGCAAUAGGAAACUCAUAACAAGUGAUCAAAGGUUUUCCUUCAUCAAUAAGCAAUUGUACAUAGGCUUAUUAGAUGAAGUUUGAGGAAUUGACAUGCCUUGCAAGGGAAUUGUAAAUUGUUACAAUUAUGAGAUCCAUAUGCGUCAAAGUAUAAUUCCUAAAUUAAUCCUAGUCGAUGUAUCAUUGAGACUGGAUAUUAAUUAUGCUUAUAGAUGAGCACAUUUAAUGUUCUUUACUUGUGAAGUAAACAACCGAUCUCAUAGGUUGAAGUAUGAAGAUACUUUGAAUUAGAAUGUGGGUACUUGUUUUUGGAACAAGUUCACUGAACAUGAAUUGCCAUGAAGAUUCAAUUUGAUAUGUCACUCAAGUGUCUAUGGAAUAUUUACUCAUGUGACAAUCGUGCAAGUGAUCCUCAGACUUAAGAUGCCAGGUUAUCUUGUACGAGGAUUGAUAUACGUUGAUAUCAUCCCUCUAGGUCCUAACUAAAGAUGCACACACAGGAUGCUGUUGGGUAUAGCAUGAAACAUAUGAAGGCAAAUAAGUGGUCAAGAGAGGAUUCACCAUUCUAAGAGAUUAAGGAGAUGUGUCUUGAUUGAUCUUGCCUUGAAUUAGCUUAAUGAAGUCUUUGGCCAAAGCAAGAUGGAUUUUAGAAAAGAAGUUUUCCAUAAUCCAUGAUAGCUAAUUAGUGGUUGCAAGAACUAAUAUAGAAACAUCAAGGAGUAGACACUACACCAUGCUCUUAAGAUUUCUAAGACACUUGGUGAAGGGAUUGAAUUGCAUUAAAUGACUGAUCAUUGAAAGGUUAAGUCAAACUGUCUUAACUCUUCUAACAUUUAGGUGGCCGAGUUGGAUUGCUAAAUCCCGCUCUUGGUCUAUGAACUUUAGAUAGUUAAUUUGAUUAAUGAUAAAUUCAAAGUAGUUUGAAUUUAUCUAAUCCAAAGUUUAAGCAUUAUAUCUUAAGUUUAUUCGAAGUCGCUAUUCUAAUAACAUUACAUAUCUCUACUAUUUAGUUUUGAGCCAACACUCUUUAAAAUUAUAAAUUUAGUAAAGACAAACUUAAAGCCAUAGGAGCUAAAUGUGACCAACUCCGCAAAGAGACUCACUCUCAUGUUUCAAAUCUUAAAAGCAAGAGAAAAUAGUGACUUUACCAAAAAAGCUUAACUUGAACAAUCUCAUCGGUACUUCUCUUUAUAAUCUUAAGUAAGAAUGAACUCAUGACUUAAUGAAACAAGACUAUUCUUUUUCUUUUUGCUUUCAAAACUUUGAUAGCUAAAUCAUAUUACUUGUCAUUCUUUUCAUCUCUUCUCUUUGUAGUGAACUCAUAAUGAAACAGAAGGCAUAGUUGGGAGUCUUUGGCAGUGAUUGGCUCGAUCAAGCAUUGCUUCAUUCUAGAGUUGCAGCUGAAUUUCUUUGUUUUAUUCUUAAUUUUUGCACUUUCUUAUUAAAUUUUAGCCAUCGUAGAUUGUGGUAGUAAUUUAUAGUUUAAACAAAUAUAUAUUGAAACAAUAAUCAUUAUGUAAAAUUAUAAUAAUACAAAUAGUGGGCUUUUCUAUAUCCUUUUUUAAUGAGCAGAAAAACAAAUCUAGCAGAAAACAUUAUAAUGAGGUUUAUAUACAAACUAAAAAAGAACCCUACUACUAAUAUAAUUACAAGAAUAACCCAACCACUAAUCAAUAAUUACAAAUAACUCAAAUGCUUACAAAUAUCAACACAUCCCCUCAAGAUGAGCAUGUAUAUAUAUUUUCAAUACUCAUAUUGCCAAGUAAGUUAUGGAGUUGAGCUGGUUGUAGUGCUUUUGUAAAAAAUAUUUGCAAGGUGCAAUUGUGUGGGAACAUAGUUUGUAACCAUUUUGCUAUUCAAAACCUUUUCUUUUAUGAAAUGGCAAUCUAAUUCAGUAUGCUUUGUCUUCUCGUGGAAGAUUGGGUUCCUACAUAUGUGCAAAGUCGACUGAUUGUUGCAAAAGAACUCUACUAUUUUAGCAUUUUUUAUGCCAAAGUCUUUAAACAGAUAUAAAAACCACAUAAUUUUCACAACAGGUGGAAGCCAUUGCUCUAUAUUUUGCAUCUAUGGAGCUUUUGGCCGCCAUAGUUUGUUGCUUUGAUUUCUAACUUAUAAGAGGAAUACCAAGAAAUAUGCCAAAGCUUGUGAUAGAUUUUCUAGUAUCUUGACAAUUAACCCAAUCAUUAUCAGAAUAAGCCCUUAAUGUCAAAUCUGCAUUUGAAGAUAAUAGUAUACUUUGGCUUAUUGUACCCUUAAAAUACCUUAAAACCUUAUGUGGAACUUGCAUAUGAACAAUGGAUGGCUUAUCUAUAAACUAAGACAAGACUAGCACUAUAAACAUAAUAUUUAGCAUGGUAAUAGACUUACCAACCAAUUAUCCAUAGCUAGAUAAGUUCUAUCAAGGGAUCAUCAUUCCAUCUGGAAAUUUUUUUACUAUAAUCAAUUCGAUUUUAGCCCAUCAUAGAUUGUGGUAGUAAUUUAUAGUUUAUACAAAUAUAUAUUGAAAUAAUAAUCAUUACGUAAAAUUAUAAUAAUACAAAUAGUAGGUAUUUCUAUAUGUUUUUUUUUAUUAUCUUUUCUAGUGUUUAGGUGGAAGUAUUUGUAUCAUAUAUUGAAACAAUAAACUUGUCACGACCCAAAUUCUGGGCCAUGACCGGGGCAUGGGCCCAAUGGAUGUAGCCCACUAAGCCCAAGCGAACCUAUUUACAUGACCUGUCCAUUAUUCCAUUAAAGUUACUAAAGUCACAUUUCAUAAUUUCGAAUCAAGAUAAUGCUAACCAUUGCCAACUCGUGGUGGCAUUACCAAUCAAAUAUACAUGUAUUAUCUAAAACAUAUGUCUUAAUAAUUUACAUUGGGUUUGUCUAUUCACAACAAAAAGAGUACUCGACUUCUAGCGGAGAGACUCAGGCAAAAGUACAACUAUUGAAUGUCGAGACACCUACCAAGAGUCGAAUCUACGAAGACACCUUGAUCUAGUUACCGACUGCCUCCUGAUCUGAAAACAUGAAGUUGAAAACGAUGAGUACAAACUUAGUGAGUGAACAUAAGAAGGGAACAAGUAAACGAGAAGGAAAGUUUAAAGAAAUUGUGAUGCAUUUGUUUCAAAAACAAUGCAAUUGAUUUAAUUUCUUACUAAAACCCCUCCCUUCAAACUUUGAUUAAUAACCUCAUAGUGUUGCAAAAGCCCAUGAUCAAUCCAUAAAGUUAAAUGGGUAAAAAAUAUGUCAAAAUCAAGCAAGGUAGGAAGUUUCUCACUGCAGCGAGAUUUAGGAGGCCAAAACAGAAAGUUUCUCGCUGCAGCAAGAAAUAGUGUUAGUUUGCAUGUAUUUCAGUUUUUCUAUCAUAUCUCCCAAUAAAUAAGUCCAAUUGAUCUUAUUUUUCAUCCAUUAGAAAGAUAAGAGGUAGGGCUACAACUUUUAUGUUUACCACUUUUUCGAAUUAGGACGGGAAGGUGGUCGAAAUCUUCAUCGAAGUGAAAGUACUACACUAGAACUCAAGAGUUGCUCGCUGCAGCGAGUUUCUAACGGCCAAAAUAGAAUGUUUCUCGCUGCAGCGAGAAUACUUUCUCUUUGCACCGAGAAGCAGGGCACCUAAAUGUAAAAAGGACCUCCUUUGCACUAAAAAUCCAUUUGGUGCUGCAAUAAAAACUAAUUUGCAAGAAAAGGGAAAAUUCUCAAGAUUCAUCAUGCCAAUUUCAACAUGCCAUACAAUCACAUUUUACAAUCACAGACAUUCUAUCACAUGUCUAUAGAUAUAAUCAUAUAUAACACCUACACCACCCCACCUUCUUCAGCUCUUGUGCACUCCCUGCAUGCACAAGGCAAUACCACCAUAUGUGCACUCCCUACUCGCUCAUUUCAAUGUCAUCAUGUGUGCACUCCCUACUCGCACACCUUAUUAUCAUGAUACAACAUCAUUUAUCAUUGCACAACAUACAUUCAAAUAUGUAUACCAACACAAUAUAAGAGCACAUGAAUUCAUCCUCUUUACACAUUUUACACCUUUUACAACAUCAAAGCACUUAUUAAGGGCUUGUUCCCAAGCACCCAUUUUUAAUGAAAAGUUGGAUAAAAUCAUGCAAAUAAUUCAUCUAAACACAAUUCUAUUUUCUAAAAUAAUUUUGAAAUGCAAGUUCACUCACCGGUAUUGUUGAACCUUUAAUCGACUCUAACCUCUACUAAUGGUUCAAAUGGGGCUGUGGGGCUUCGUUGGAACCUAUCACACAUAAAAACAUCACAACCAAUCCAAUUUACAUAAAUAUCACUUCAAAAGCUAGUUUCUAAUUCAAGUUCUACUAGUCAUUUCUAAUUGGCUUCCAACUAUAUCAAAUGGCUAUUCCUUGCACUACUCUAAUCACACUAAAAAUGAAUAAAUAACCUCAAUAAUAAAACAGCUCAUAAUCCCAAUUACUAGCCAUUAUCAACAACUUAAAACCAAGCCCAGUUCAUCACUCACUUUAGGGUUUCUUCGUAGCUGAAUUCUCUUCCAAUAGCUUCCAAACAAAUGUGGAAAGUCUCUCUCUCUCUCUCUUUCUCUCUCUAAAAUGCCCAACUAGUGAGAGAAAGUAUUAGAGUAAGGCUUUUCAAGGGUUUUAAAGAGAGUGAAAAAGCACAAAGGUUCUAUGAAAGGGUGCACAAAAGCAUGAAAAUUAGAGCUAGUUUGAGAAAGGUUAUGGAGGUUUCAUAUCAAGCUUUCAUGAAGGAUGAAAGCAAUGUGAGAUGAGAGGAAGGAGAAGAAGAAGAAGAAGCUGCUAGAGAAUGAAGAAGCUACUGGAAGAAAAAUAUAUUUAUAGCUCAAGCUUAUCCAACUCCACUUAAAUUACGAAAAUACCCUCAGCUAGUUAGCUAGUUCUCCUCUAACCCUUUGUGCAAUCUUUUUACUCUUUUGACACCAAGACAAGGUCCAUAAUAGUCUAAAAGUACUCGAGUUCAAAAAAACUUAAAUUUUUUACUUGGGGUGUAAAAUGACCAUUUUACCCUUGUUGUGAAAGUUUUUGUCACUUCCAGUUUUCUUCGUGUUUUCAUCAUUAUACAUCAUUCAUUCGGUCCUUAUGCCCACUUAGACCUUAAAAUAUUAGAAAACCUUCUUCUGGAAGCUUAUUAGAGGAAAUGAUGAAAUUACCCUUAGUCUAUGUUAUCGCGUCUACUUUUAAUUACGAGUCUAUAGAGGUCGAGGUCUCACAUUCUCCCCCACUUAAAGAAAUUCGGUCCCCGAAUUUAAAUUUAACUAUAAGGUAACUUACCUCUAUGCAUCAAAGAGGUGGGAUACUUUGUCCGUAUUUCCUCCUUAGCCUCCCAUGUUACCUCCUCAUUGGUUUGAUUUCGCCAUAACACUUUCACUGAGGCUACAUUUUUUGAACGAAGCUUUUUGACUUGCCGAUCAAGGAUAGCUACUGGUUGCUCCUCAUAGGUCAAAUCAUCAUUCAGCUAGAUGGUUUCAUACUGUAUUACAUGAGAUGGAUCUGGGUUAUAUUUCCUAAGCAUUGACACAUGGAAUACGGGGUGAAUAUUCGAGAGGUUUGGUGGUAGCACCAAACGAUAAGCCACUACUCCAACCCUUUCUAAGAUCUCGAAGGGCCCUAUAUAUCAAGGACUUAAUUUUCCUUUCUUGCCGAACCUCAUUACCCCUUUUGUUGGUGAGACCUUUAAAAAUACAUGAUCCCCCACUUGAAACUCCAAGUCUCUCCGUCAAUUAUCAGCAUAUGAUUUUUGUCUACUUUGUACUAAUAACAUCCUUUAUCAAAUCAUGUGUAUUUUCUCGGUGGCAUCCCGCACCAACUCAGACCCCAAGAGUUUCCUUUCUCCCACCUCUAGCCAUCCAAUAGGUGACCUGAACCUCCGUCCAUAUAAUGCUUCAAAUGGUGCCAUCUGGAUGCUAGCUUGGAAACUGUUGUUGUAGGCAAACUCUACUAAGGGUAGAUAUCGAUCCCACUUGACCCCAAGGUCUAUUACACAGGCCCUAAACAUAUCUUCCAAUAUCUGUAUCGUCCGUUUCGAUUGCCCAUCCGUCUGAGGGUGGAAAGCUGUGCUAAAAUCCAACUUAGUGCCCAAUGCUUCCUGUAGCUUUUCCUAGAACCUAUUGGUGAAUUGUGCCCCCCGGUCGGAUACUAUAGAAACAGGAAUGCCAUGCAGCCGUAUUAUCUCGUUUACAUAAAGCUAGGUGUACUGGGUGGCCCCGUAUGUAGUUUUAACUUGAAGGAAGUAAGCUGAUUUCGUUAACUGAUCUACUAUGACCCAGAUCGAGUCAUAACCCCACUAGUCCGAGGCAAACCCAUUACAAAGUCCAUUGCAAUAUGCCUCCCACUUCGAUUCGGGCAACGGUAAUGGCUGUAGUAGCCUUGCAAGCCUUUGAUGCUCGGCCUUAACCUGUUGACAAACCAGGCUUUUGGAGACGAACUCAUCUACAUCUUUCUUGAGUCCUUCCCACCAAUACACCUCCUUCAAAUCUUGAUACAUCUUUAUAGCCCCUGGAUGUACCACAUAGGCUACAUGUGCGCUUGCUCCAAUAUUUCUCUCCUCAAUCCAUCACUAGCGGGCACAUAAAGUCUAGCUCCAUACCUCAACACUCCAUCUGUGCCUUUAGUAAAGAUUUUCCCUUUCCUUCCUUAAGGGUCCUCUAAGGCCUUAGCUACGAACUCAUCUUUACUUUGUGCUUUUUUAAUCUGGUCCAUUAAAAUAGGCCUUACUCUAAAAAUGUGCUAGCAAUGCAUUUGCCUCCGAAACUUCCAAAUGCACACCCUUGUCUCCCAAGUUGUGCAUCUCCCUAAUCAAGAAUCUCCUAUCUAUGGAGAUAUGUGCCAAGCUUCCCAUCGAUUUUCGAGUCAAAGUAUCCGCCACUACAUUUGCCUUACCAAUAUGGUAAAGAAUAGUACAAUCAUAAUCUUUUAGCAACUCCAUCCAUCUACGUUGUUGUAUGUAAAACCCGACUCUAUAAACACAUGCCAUCACAUACAUGCACUGAGUAGCAUGUUAUUACGCUAAGAAAGCUCCUAAGAAUAUACAAAACCUUGUAUUGUACCUAAUGCUACACUUGAGUUGAUUUAGCCUCGAACUAGUUCAAAUAGGAAUCGUAGGAUGAAAUUUAAUAUUUUACAGUCUAGGAAUGACUAAAAAUGAUUGUUCGGAGUUCGAGGAUUCAUUUGGGGAAAAAUUGAAAAUUUUGAUGUUCAGGGGCAAAAUCGUCAUUUUACCACCUAAGAUAAUAAUAUGAUCAUGGAGUGAAAUUUUUGACCAAGAUUAACUAUUUGGAGUAUAAUUUAAUGAUAGGAAGUGAAAAUUUUCAAUUCCGACAAUUUUCGAAACAUAGGGGCAAAACAGUAAUUUUGUCACCCCGACGUAAAACCGUAAUUUUUACCACCCAAAACUUGUCAAAAUCAUAGGAUUUAUUUAUUUUUGGUAUGAAUAACUAUGGUAUUUUAAGUGGUGAAAAAAUUGAAGUUUAAAGGAUGCCAAUGGAAAAGUGACACAUGGCACUUUUUAAUGAUUUAAUAUUAUUUUAAAGGAAAAUCAGCCCAUUUAAACCCCACAUCAGGUGAUGGUCGGCCAUAAGGAGAAAAUAAGAGAGAAAAUAGAGGGGAAAGGAAGAAAAGAGAAAAACCAAAGAAAAACUAGAAAAUUCAAAGGGGAAUUCACAUUUUUCAUCCAUUUACACGUUUAACGGUAAGAUUUUUCAACUUUAGCUUGAUUUCUACCUUUCCUAUGCCUUUGUUUCCAUUUAGCAUGCUUGAGAAGAGAGAUCAAAAGUGAUACCAAGGGAUGGCCGAAUUUCAAGGGGAAGGAUUUUGAAAUUUUUAUGUUUUGAUUCUUAGUUAAAUUGGUAGUUUUAGUUAGUUAAAUGUGUAUAGAAAUCAAAUAGGGCAAGAAAGCAUGAAAUUCUCACAAUACCCACCCUUGGCCGAAUAUUCAAUGAUGUACAAUGAUGAUGAACUGAUUUUUAUUCUAAGAGAAAUGAAGAGAAAAUGAUGAAAAAUGGUUAAAUGUGAUAGAAAAAUAAAGUGGAAAAUUAAUCGAGUUAAUGUCUCAUUUUUGACGGAAUUUUUCAAGGAGGAAAGUGAGCUGAUUUUGGUGAUUUUAGAGGGUUAUUGGCUGAUAUUUAAUGUUUAGAAAUGUUGGAGAGAAAAUGGGAUAAUUUAGAGAUAAAAUGGAGCGCGUAAGCAAUUUAUCAAGUAAAGUGCCAAAAAUAGGUUAAUACCGCGUUUAAGCCGUUUUAGGCUAUUGCAUUUCAUACCAUGCAUUAGUAUAGGAUUUAAGUCAAUUAUAUAGUGAUUUAGCAUCAAUGUGGUGAAUUGUGUAAUUUUUGCAAUGUGUAUAGGAGGAGAGCCUUCCGGUAAAAGCAAGGAAGUCGUACCCGACGAACAGUGUCGGGGCACUUAGAAAGCAAUUAAUUUGUACAAACUAUGAGAAAGCCUAUUAUUAUUGUAAAUUAUCUAGAGUUUAUUUUUAAAUGCUCUUUAUGUAUUUUAUGAAACGAAAUUAAAAUGGGACUUUUGAUGUUUUAGAAAUAAAUGUGACAAAUAAAUAUAUUGUGUGGAUUAUAUGAAAUAAAAAACUUUUGAUCAUGAAAUUGAGUAAUUGGAGGCUACCAAUUGUCUUGAAAAAUAUAUUUUCCUAUGAAUGGCUUAUGAUAUAUGAGUAUAUGUGGCUAUAUUUUAUAAUUACAUUGGGAAUUUAUGUAAGCUGUCUUUUACUAUGCAAGCUGGAUAAAUAAAUAAAAGCCACGUUAUAUUAUCGAAAUUUUAUUAAAAUUGGUGGGUUUAGUCACUACAGUGAUGAGUUUUCGUGGACUGCCUAUUAGAGGGGUACAAUAAACCCGGUUGCAUAGUUACUCAGGUUGUAGAGGUGAGGAAGGUAACUCCCGGGGUAGUGUUAAAGCUCACUUCACAUCGAACCCCCACGUGAAUGUGUAACUCGGCCAACGCCAAGGAACGGCUUGUUUUCAAAACUAACAUGUGUUUAACAUGUAAAUAUCUUAACAACCUUGGCGGACUCGAUUAGAUGCCUCGGCCAAGGUAUCCCCGAGGACUAGUUUUUUACUUGAGCCCUGUUUCUAAUAAAAGUCAUAAGCCUUAACAACUGUUUUGGUAAAUUACAAAUAUUUUAUGGUUUAAGAAAUAAAUUGAAAACCUUAUGAAAUGGUUUGUGAUUUGUUGUUUAAACUUGCCUCUAUUUUACUCGCCUUUAGAUAUUUAUGACAAUGUCUGUUUACUCAUUGAGAUUGCAAAAUCUCACCCACCUCCUUUCCAAAUAUUUCAGGCUUGUGGUAGCUUGUAGAUACCUGAUUUUGUCGAGGAUUCCAGUUGACCCCUCUAUCCCACAGACAAUAGGUUACUGUCACCAACACUUGGUGUAUUUAUGGGCCACUUGUCAUUGUAAUUAUUAUCGUACAUUAUAACUUUGUAAAUUAUUGUAUGUAUAAAUUUAUUGUACUUCCACGUUGCAAAAGAUUACUUACACGUGUUUCUAUAAAUAUUGUUUUAUAUAAAAAUACUAUAUUUUAAUCAAUAUUUUGAAUAGUAAUAUUUGUCUAUAAAUCUUUUUAAAACAAAAAUAAAAUAAUUUUUGUCUUUUAAUUUACUUGAGCCGAAAACGACUGGUAAUUGUUUAAAACGGAAUGUUUAACAACGAUUGCUCACAGGAAAGGCAAGAAACUAAUACGUAAGCCUUGCGGGGUUCCGAUUGGCAUUUUGGGUAAUGAGUGUCAAUCGAGACGUCGCAGCGGUUAUCAUGGGCCCCGAUAGAGGUUCUGGGUCGUGACACUGUAAGUUAAGAUCCUUCUACUGAAAUAUGUACUUUAGGCUUUUGUGGUCCGUAUAUAUCUCGCAAGUCUCACCAUACAAGUAAUGCCUCCAAAUCUUUAAGGCAAACACGAUUGCUGCCAUCUCCAAAUCGUGUGCGGGGUAAUUCUGCUCAUGCCUUUUAAGUUGCCUUGAUGCAUAAGCAAUCACCUUCCCAUGCUGCAUUAAUACACACCCUAAACCAACCCGCGAUGCAUCACAAAAUACCGUCUAACCCUCUGUGCUUUGUGGUAGGCUUAAUACCGAAGCUGUGGUGAGACAUGCCUUAAGCUUCUCAAAAGCAUCAGACCACUCAAAUUUUGUAUCUUUACGUGUCAGCUUAGUCAGAGGGGCAACUAUUUUGGAGAAGUCUUUCACGAAACGACGAUAAUAGCCAGCCAAACCCAAAAAGCUUUUAAUCUCCAUAACUGAUGUUAUCCUUGGCCACUUUUCCACUGCCUUAACUUUCUUUGUAUCGACUGGUACCCCAUCCUUAGAUACCACAUGUCCCAAGAAUGCAACACUUUCUAGCCAAAACUCACACUCGGAGAACUUAGCAUACAAUCGAUGUUCUCUCAAAGUUUGGAGCACUAUCUUAAGAUGCUGCUCAUGCUCCUCUCGACUCUUCAAGUAGAUCAAGAUGUCAUCAAUAAACACCACAACAAACUUGUCCAAAUAUGGCUUGAACACUCGGUUCAUCAAAUUUAUAAAAGGUCGCAAGGGCAUUCGUGAGCCCGAAUGACAUCACCAAGAACUCAUAGUGCCCGUACCUUGUUUGGAAUGCAGUCUUUGGUAUAUCUUCAUUUCAGAUCCUCAACCGAUGGUACCUAGAUCGUAAAUCUAUCUUGGAGAAACAUUGUGCUCCUUGUAGUUGAUCAAAUAAAUCAUCUAUUCUUAGAAGAGGGUACUUAUUCUUCACUGUUACUUUAUUAAGCUGUCGGUAGCCAAUGAACAAUCUCAACGACCCAUCUUUCUUCUUUACAAAUAACACCGGUGCUCCCGAUGGUGAGACGCUAGGACGGAUGAAGCCUUUAUCCAACAAAUCUUCUAACUGAUCCUUAAGCUCCUUAAGCUCCACAAGUGCCAUUCUAUAUGGGGGUAUGGAUAUAGGUCUAGUGUCGGAAAUCAAAUCUAUGCAAAAUUCAAUCUCCCGCUUAAGAGGCAAACUGGGUAAUUCCUCGGGAAACACAUCCAUGAACUCAUUCACCACCGACACUUGGCUUAUAUCUCCAACCUUCGCUUGAGUAUCCCUUACCACAGCCAAGUAACCUGAACAACCCUGUCGUAAUAACCUUCUGGUAGACAUGACUGAUAUCAAAUUUGUUGAAGCAUUGCUUCUAUCCCCCUGAAUACUAAAUGAUGGUUCACCGGGAAAAUCAAAUUUAACCAAUUUGUGAUAGCAGUCCACACUGGCAUGGCAGGGUGAUAGCCAAUCCAUCCCCAAGAUCACGUCAAAAUCUAAGGUGUCUAACACCACUAAAUUUACCAAAGUAUCCUUAUCCUUGACUCGAACUACACAGGACUCAUAUUCCUAUCGGCCACAAAUACCUCCUUUAAAGGAAUAGACACCACUAAUUGUUCUUCUCUCCUAAUACGAUCCUUACCCAAAAGAGACGCAAAAUAGGGAGAAAUAAAAGAGUGGGUAGCACCAAGAUCAAACAAUACCCGAGCAUUCAUAUUACAAACAGAAAGAAUACUGGAGACCACUGCAUUGGAUGUCUAGGCCUCUUGCAAUGUUAAAGCAAACACCCUUGCUUGACCCCUACCGACAGAACUCUGACGUCUAGACCUAGAAGGCCUGCCCUGAGAGGAAGUACCAACACCUCUACCUCUUGAUCCACUAGCCUCCUGACCUGAUGAGGCAGCAACUGAAGGAGCAAACGAAGCUGGCUAGGUGGAACCACGAGCAGAAUCUUGUGAUUGAUAAGCUAUCGGACAAUUCCUCUUAAUAUGUCCAGGUUGACCACACCUAAAACAAACUCUUGUAGUAAGAAAACAUCAUCCUUUAUGUCGUACCCCACAAGUACUGCAAGGGUUGAUAACUUGACUACUCUACCUUGAAUCUUGCUACCUUCCCCCACCAAAGGUUUUCUACCCUGAUCCAACAUUGGCACUAACCACAUCACUCCCCCUUGGGGUAACCGUGAUUCCUUUUGUGGGCCCUGACAGCUAGAAGACGGAAUACCACUGCUGAAAUCCCUACGACCUUGAUAACCCUCUAUCUUGGCCUUUUUUGCUCUAUCCCCCAUAGCUCUACUAUCACUGGUCCUCAUCUCAAUUUGCUGAGCGCAAUCCACUACUGCGGAGUAAGUACUGAAAUCUUGGGAUGCCACAACCAUAAACAAUGGCUCCACUAGCCCAUCCACAAACCUUUGUAUCUUCAUCUCCUCUAUAGCAACUACAUAGGGUGCAUACCGAGCUAGAUGCGUGAAUUUGAUGUCAUAUUCUGACACCGUCAUACCUUGGGUCUGUACUAAGGCCUCAAACUCCCUAGCCCGUGCAUUACGUACACUGAGUGGUAAGAAUCGAUCUAAAAAGGCUGUAUUGAACUCAUUCCAAGUCAACAGUGCUGCAUCCGUUGGACUGCCUCUACACAAGGAGCUAUACCACUCUUGUGCCACGUCCUCUAAUCGGGAAGUGGCUAGCUCGACUGAUUAGGCACUGGAACAUCCCAAGGCUUUACAAAUUUUCUUCAUCUUAUCUAAGAAAAUCUAGGGCUUCUCCGAAGAAUCAGACCCUAAAAAUGACAAAGGCUUAAGUUUGAGAAAAUCAAGUAGAGAAAUCUCUAGAUGUCCCCUCUCAACCUCAUGAUGUUGGAGAUCGACCUGUCCUUAGGAGCUAGGGGAUUCUUGUACGGUAGGUCUCCCAUCCACUAUCCUUUGUAAUCAUCCAUACGGGUCACCAUCAUCUCUACAACCCGGUUAACUCCUUGUAGGCUCGCAGCCAAAUCUUCGAUGGUAAUACACUCGAUUGGUUGUCUAUCUACAUCACCCGAAGACUGUUCUUCCUCUCGCCUACUCACAAGUAUAUCCACCCUCACCGGUCUACUUGCCCUGCCACGUCUACCUCGACCCCUAAGGGUGGAUGCCCGUGGCCUAUCUGUCAGCUCAUCAGGAGCAUCUUGCUCUCCCAUCCGUCUUGAGGCAACUCGUGUCUUAGAAGGGAUUCUUACCUAGACAAGAGCAAACACCUAUUAUUAAACACAUUUUAUAGUCAUACUCAAAAGAAAAAGGUGGUUUCUAAGAUAGGGAAUCUAUACAGUCCCUUGGUUGUAAAAUGUGUCGUGGUUUAAACUUCACAAUCGAAGUUUCCAUAUAAAGACCCGACACUUCGCUAGACCAACAAAGGAAGUCCUAGGACCUAGACAACCUAGGGCUUUGAUACCAAGUCUGUCAUGACCCAAAUUUUGAGCCAUGACCGGCACAUGGGCCCAAUGGACGUAACCCACUAGGCCCAAGCCAACCUAUUUACAUGACCUGUCCAUUAUUCCAUUAAAGUUACUAAAGUCUUAUUUAAUAAUUUCGAAUCAAGAUAAUGCUAACCAUUGCCAACUCAUAGUGGCAUUACUAAUCAAAUAUACAUGUAUUAUCUAAAACAUAUGUCUUAAUAAUUUACAUUGGGUUUAUCUAUUCACAACAAAAAGAGUAUUUGACUUCCAACAGAGAGACUCAGGCGAAAGUACAGCUACUGAAUGCCGAGACACCUACCAAGAGUCGAAUUUAUGAGGACACCUUGAUCUAGUUACCGACUGCCUUCUGAUUUGAAAACAUGAAGUUGAAAACAGUGAGUACAAACUUAAUGAGUAAACAUAAAAAGGGAACAAGCAAACGAGAAGAAAAGUUUAAAGAAAUGGUGAUGCAUUUGUUUCAAAAACAAUGCAAUUGAUUUAAUUUCUUACUAAAACUCCUCCCUUCAAACUUUGAUUAAUAACCUCAUAGUGUUGCAAAAACCCAUGAUUAAUCCACGAAGUAAAAUGGGUGAAAAUAUGUCAAAAUCAAGCAAGGUAGCAAGCAUGGCAGCAAGUUUCUCACUGCAGCAAAGUUCAUUCUCGUUGCAGUGAGAUUCAGGAGGCCAAAACAGAAAGUUUCUCGCUGUAGUGAGAAACAAUGUUAGUUUGCAUAUGUUUUAGUUUUUUUAUCAUCUCUCCUGAUACAGAAGUCCAAUUGACCUAAUUUAAACCAUUAGAAAGCUAAGAGGCAGGGCUACAACUUUGAUGUUUACCACUUUUCUCAAUUCGAACCUGAAGGUGGUCGAAAUCUUCAUCUAAGUGAAAGUACUGCGUCAGAACCUGAGAGUUUCUCGCUGCAGCGAGAUUUAUUCUCGCUGCAGUGAGUUUCUGGUGGCCAAAAACAAAAUGUUUCUCGCUGCAGCGAGAAGCAGGGCACCUAAAUGUAAAAAAGACCUCUUUUGCACUAAAAAUCCAUUUAGUGCUGCAAUAAAAAUCAAUUUGCAAGAAAAGGGGAAAUUCUCAAGAUUCAUCAUGCCAUACAAUCACAUUUUACAAUCACACACAUUCUAUCACAUAUCUAUAGAUAUAAUCACACUACUCUAAUCACUUUCCUUGCACUACUCUAAUCACACUAAAAAUGAAUAAACAACCUCAAUGAUAAAACAACUCAUAAUCCCAAUUACUAGCCAUUAUCAACAACUUAAAACCAAGCCCAGUUCAUCACUCACCUUAGGGUUUCUUCGUAGCUGAAUUCUCUUCCAAUAGCUUCCAAACAAAUGUGGAAAGUCUCUCUCUCUCUCUCUUUUUCUCUAGAACGCCUAGCUAGUGAGAGAAAGUAUUAGAGUAAGGCUUUUCGAGGAUUUUAAAGAGAGCGAGUGAAAAAGCACAAAGGUUCUAAGAAAUGGUGCACAAAAGCAUGAAACUUAGAGCUAGUUUGAGAGAUUUUAUGGAGGUUUCAUAUCAAGCUUUCAUGGAGGAUGAAAGCAAUGUGAGAUGAGAGGAAGAAGAAGAAGAAGAAGCUACUGGAAGAAAAAGAUAUUUAUAGCUCAAGCUUAUCCAACUCUACUUAAAUUACGAAAAUGCCCUUAACCAGUUAGUAGUACUUAGUUAAAAGGGUAAUUCAGAAGUGAACCUGUGAAAUCUAGAUCUCCAUAGACACAUAACUAAAAGUAGACGUGAUAAUGCGAACUAGGGGCAAUUUCAUAAUUUCUCUUGGUGAGCUCCUACGAGUGGGUUUAUUUAAUGCUAUUAAGGUCUAAAUAGGCCUAAGGAAUGAAUGAAUGAUGUUUAUGAUGGUAAAUAAAUGAAGAAGAUAAAAAUAAUGAUAAUUUCCAUGGUAGGGGCAAAAUGGUCAUUUUGCAUCUCCAAUCUAAAUUUUUAUAUUUUCGUGAACCCGAGUCUUUCUAGACUACAUGGACCUUGUCUUAGUGUGAAAAGAGUAAAAGGUUGCACAAAGGAUAGGAGGAAGACAAAGUCACCAUGUUAAGGGCAUUUUGGUAAUUUAUGUGAAAAAUGGAUAAACUUUAUAUAUAAAUAUCUAAAGCUCCAGCAAUUUCUAGCAGCUUCUAGCCAUUUCUUCUUCCUCCCCUCUCUUCUCUCCAUUUCAUGUUUUCUUCAUCUUCCAUGGAAGCCUCCCAUGGUAACCCUAAACCUUGUGUUUUUCUACACCUUUUCAUAGGGUUUUUCAUACUUUUUCUCUUCUACACCUCAAAAGCCCUUAAAAGUCUUUCCUUGGUAUAUUUUCUCACUAGCUGGACAAGUGGAAAGAGAGAGCGAGAUUGUCCACAAUAGCUUGGAAGCUUUUGAAAAGGAAUUCAACUACAAAGAAAAAAACCACCAAGGUGAGUAAUUAAUUAGGUUUAAUUUUCAAGUUGUUGAUAAUGGUUGAUGAUUAGAGUGGUGAGUUACUCUAUUGUUGAGGUUGUUUAUUCACUCUUAGGGUGACUAGAGUGGUGUAAAUAACUAGCCACUUAAUGGCAAUCGGAAGCUAGUUAGGAAUAACUAGUAGAACUUGAUAUAGGAAAGAGCUUUUGGAAUUAUAUUAAUGCUAAUUUGGGUUGGUUGUGAUGUUGUGUGUGUAAAGGUUCCAACAAGGCCUCACAUGUCCAUUUGAAGCUAUAAUCGAAGUUAGAAUUGAUUAAAGAAUCAACAAGACUGGUGAGUGAAUUUGCAUUUCAAAAUGUUUUGGGGAAAUGCUUACAUGUUUUAAUGAAUCAUUUAGAAAUUCUAUUUGUUUUUGCUUUAAAAUUGCCCGAGAACAAGCCCUUGAUAAAUGGUCUCUAUGUUGUGACAUGUGGUUAUUAUGGAUUCAUGCACUACUACAUUAUGUUGACACACACACACACACACACACACACACACACACACACAUAUAUAUAUAUAUACGAGUAUAUGUUGUGCAUUGAUGAAUAAUGUUGUGUAAUGAUAUUGACCCGGCUAUGUGCGAGUAGGGAGUGCGCAUAAGCCGAUGCUGACCCAGCUAUGUGCGAGUAGUGACUGCACAUGAGCAGAUGCUGACCCAGCUAUGUGCAAGUAGGGAGUGCACAUGAGCUGAUGAUGAUGGGAUGGUAUGCAUGAUGACGGAUAUAUAUAUAUAUAUAUAUAUAUAUAUAUAUAUAAGUAUAUAGAUAUGUGUGUUACAAAAAAUUUAUGAAAAUAAUUGUGAUUAUGUUCUGUGUUGGCAUUGUUAAUUGCUCCUAAAUUGCUUUUCAUUUCAAUAAGAAAAUGGCUUUUAAUGUAAUAAGACCCUUUUUAGCUAAGUUGCUCUGUUUCUUACUGUAGGGAGGUUCAUUGUAGCUGGAACGAGAAACUCUCGGGUUGGAGGAAAGUUGCAAUGGCCUGAUUCUCGCUGCAGUGAGAAACUCUUGGGUUCUGAUGCAGUGCUUUCACUUCAAUGAAGAUUUUGACCACUUUCCCUUCCGAACUGAAAAAAGUGGUAAACAUAAAAGUUGUAGCCCUGCCUCUUAGCUUUCUAAUGGUCUACAAAUCAGGUCACUUUAACUUCUGUAGCCGGAGAUAUACUAGAAAAACUAAAACACAUACAAACUAACAUUGUUUCUCGCUGCAGCGAGAAACUUUCUAUUUUGGCCGCCUGAAUCUCACUACAGUGAGAAUGAACUUCACUGCAGCGAGAAACUUGCUGCCAUGCUUGCUACCUUCCUUGAUUUUGACAUAGUUUUCACCUGUUUAACUUCAUGGAUUGAUCUUGGGUUUUUGUAACACUGUGAGGUUAUUAAUCAAAGUUUGAAAUGAGGGAUUUUUAGUAAGAAACUAAAUCAAUUGCAUUGUUUUUGAAACAAGUGCAUCAUGAUUUCUAAAUUCUUCCUAUUGAUUGCUUGUUCCUAUCUUAUGUUCACUCAUUGAGUUUUAUACUCUCGUUUUUAAACUUCAUGUUUUCAGAUUCGAUGGCAAUUGAGACCUAGAUUGGGUGUCCACAUAUGCUCGUCUUCUUGGUAGGUACUAUGGCAUCUCAGUAGCUGUACCUUCACCCAUGGUCACUUCGCUAAUGGUCAAGAGUCUGUUACCUGUAAACAUGUAUAUGUAAUGUAAUCCGCUAGGAUUCAUGUUAUAAGUCAAAUAUGUAUAUUUUGGAUUAAUGAUGCCACUAUAAGCUAGCAAAUGGGUGACAUUAUUUUGACAUAAUACAAUUGUGAGUAUUGGGUUACUAUAAAAUGUUAUUGAAAUAUUUUUAGUUGAGAAUUACAAUAUGGGUUUUAGAAAUGAUAGUUUGGAAUGAUGAUCGGGAUUACAUAAAUAAGCUUGCUUGGGCUUAGUGGGUUAUGCCCAUUGGGCCCAUGCGCAGGUUAUAGCCCGAAAUUUGGGCUGUGACAGUUCGCUUGUUCUCCUCCAACCCUUUGUGCAAUCUUUUUACUCUUUUGACCCCAAGACAAGGUCCAUAAUAGUGUAAAAGUACUCGAGUUCAAAAAAACUUAAAAUUUUUUACUCGGGGUGUAAAAUGACCAUUUUACCCCUGUUGUGAAAAUUUUUGUCACUUCUAGUUUUCUUCAUGUUUUCAUCAUUAUACAUCAUUCAUUUGGUCCUUAUGCCCACUUAGACCUUAAAAUAUUAGAAAACCUUCUUCUGGAAGCUUAUUAGAGGAAAUGACGAAAUUACCUUAGUCUAUGUUAUCCCGUCUACUUCUAAUUACGAGUCUAUAGAGGUCAAGGUCUCAUAAAACUGUACUCAAAAGCAUAAUAAUACAAAUAUAUAUAUAUAUGAGAGAUCUAUUGUGCACUAUGUUAAAGUCUUAAUGGAGAUUGAGUUUUGGGUAUGAUGGAAGGAAGAAAGAAGGACUUGAUUCUGUUCUUUGAAUGAGCAGAAAAACAAAUCUAGCAAAAAACAUUGCAAUGAGGUUUAUAUACAAACUGAAAGAGAACCUUAUUACUAAAAUAAUUACAAGAAUACCCCUACCAGUAAUCAAUAAUUACAACUCAAAUGCUUACAAAUAUCAACACACUCUCUCAAGAUGAGCAUUUGUUUGCAAUACUCAUCUUGCCAUGUAAGGUAUGGAGUUGAGUUGCCUGUAGCGCUUUUGUAAAAAAUAUCUGCAAGUUGCAAUUGUGUGGGAACAUAGUUUGGAACAAUUGUUCCAUUCAAUACCCUUUCUUUUAUGAAUUUGCAAUCUAAUUCAAUAUGCUUUGUCCUCUCAUGGAAGACUGGGUUCCUACAUAUAUGCAAAGCCAACUGAUUGUUGCAAAAUAACUCCACUACUUUAGCAUCUUUUAUGCCAAAGUCUUUAAGUAGAUAGAAAAACCACAUAAUUUUUCAGAACAAGUGGAAGCCAUUGCUUUGUAUUCUGCCUCUGUGAAGCUUUUGCCACCACAGUCUAUUACUUUGAUUUCCAACUUAUAAGAAUGUCACGACCCAAUUUUUUAGUCAUGAUCGGCACAUGAGCCCAAUGGACGUAGCCCACUAAGCCUAAGCAAGCCUAUUUAUAUAAUCGUACUCAUCAUCCCGUCAACUAUUCUUACAUUUACAUCUCAUAAUCUCAACUCUUUAAGUACUUUAAUAGUAAUUUAUAACAAUCGAAAACUGCAUUUAUAUUAACCCAAAAUAACAUUAACUAUUGCCACUCAUGGUAGUUUUAUAAAUCAAAAUAUACAUAUAUGGUCUAAGGCAUACAUCUUAGUACUUUACAUCACAUGUACGUAUUUACAACAAAAAUAACUUUGGGCUUCUAACAGAGUGACCAAGGUGAAGGUGCAACUACGAAAUACAAAGAUACCUACCAAGGAUAUGAAUCUACGAGGACACCUCGACCUAGUUACUAGCUGCCUCUUGAUUUGAAAACAUGAAGUUGAAAAUGGUGAGUAUAAAUCCGAUGAGUGAAUAAAGGAAGGGAACAAGCAAACGAUAAGGAAAAUUUAAAGAAAUCAUGAUGCAUUUAUUUUCAAAAACAAUGCAAUUUAGUUUAGUUCUUAUUAAAACCCCUCAUUAAACCCUUAAUGAGUUAAUCACUUAACGAAAAGGCCCAUGCAUAACAAAGAAUUUGAAGAGUGAAAACUUUAAUAGUAUUCAAGCAAGUCAAGUCAAGUAAAACGACAAUACGUUGCAGCGAGAAUGAAUUUUCGCUGUAACGAAAUUUGGCUCGAAUUGUCAACUGGUAGAGGGUUUUCUUAGGUGGCCAAGGGUUUCUCACCAAAUCUCCUCAUUAUAAGCUUAAUUAAUUAAAUCCUUGAUGUUGAAAGUUCAUGUUCAACCAUGAUGUUAAAGAAGUGGAAAAUAUGUCAAAACCAAAUAGGGUAGCAUGCAUGACAGAAAGUUUCUUGCUGCAUCAAAAUUCAUUCUCGUUGCAGUCAGAGUUAGGCAGCAAAACAAAAAGUUUCUCGUUGCAAUGAGGAGCUUCAACAACUUUCUCACUGCAACAAGAAUACAUUCUCGCUACAGCGAGAAUCAAGCCAAUGUAACCCUCCAAACCCGAGAGUUUUUCGCCACAGCAAGAAACAGGACACCAACAACAAAUUUUCGUUCUCUCAAGAAAAGGCCAUUUAGCUGCAAACAUAAAAUCAACUUGAACAUGCUUAAAAAUUCCCAAGGUUUAACAUGCAAGAUUCACAUGUAUUACAACCAUAUACCAUACUCAUGAACUUUCUAUAACACACAUAUAUAUAUACACAUCAUCAUGCAUACCAUCCCGCCAUCAUCAACUCAUGUGCAUUCCCCACUCGCACAUAGCUGGGUCAUCAUCAACUCAUGUACACUCUCACACCACACAUGGUUGGGUCAUCAUCAUCACACAAAAAGGAACAUCCAAUGCAUAUUAUACAUAUCCACAUAUUGUGAUAACACAUGAACCAUUUAUAUGGCACAUUUUCACAAGAUAAAAACAUUUCACUAAAGGCUUGUUCCCCAAGUAUAUUUUUAAAGAAAAGUUGGAUAAAAAUCAUUCAAAUGUUUUACCUCAAAUACAUCUACAUUUUUCAAAGAAAUUUUGAAAUGCAAGUUCACUCACCGGUAUUCGUUAAAUCUUUACUCAACUCCAACUUCCUCUAUUGGUCCAAAUGGGGCUUCAUUGGAACCUAUCGUCACAUUGGCAUCACAAUUAACUUAAUUCAUAGAACUAUAAAUUCUAAAAGCUAUCUCCUAACUAGCACCCAAUUGCCAUUAAGUAGCUAUCUAUUUUCACUAUCCUCAUCACUCUAAAAUGACUAAUCAACCUCAACUACAAAACACUGACAAGUCUAAUCACUAGCCAUUCUCAACACUUAAAAAUCAACUCUAAUUUACUACUCACCUUGUUAGCUUUGCAAAUUUGAAAUUCUUUCCAAUAAUUUUCCAAGCUAUUAUAAAAGCUCCCUCUUGCUCCCUCUAAACACCUAGCUAGUGAGAAAAAGUAUGGAAGUAAGAUUUUUCAAGGGUUUUAAAGUGAAGGAGUAAAAGAGCACAAAGGUUCUAUGCAAAAGUACACAAAAGUAUGAAGAUUUGAGCUAUCUUAAGAGAGGUUAUGGAGGUUUCAUAACAAGCUUCCAUGGAGGAUGAAAGCAACGUGAGAUGGGAGGAAGAAAAAGAAAAAGAAGCUACUGGAAAUAUGAUAAGAAGCUAUUGGAAGAUGAUAUUUAUAGCUCAAGCUUAUCCAACUCCACUUAAACUACGAAAAUGCCCUUAGCAAGUUAGCUUGUUCUUCUCCAAUCCUUUGUGCAAUCUUUUUACUCUUUUGACACUGAGGCUAGGUCCACAAUGGACUAAAAAUACUCGAGUUUACAAAAACUUAAAAUUUUGACCCGAGAUGAAAAAUAACCAUUUUGCCCCUUCCUUGGAAAUCAUCAUUAUUUUUAUUUUCUUCGUCAGUUUGCCCUUAUUUUCAUCAUUCAUGUAAGCCUUAGGCCUACUUAGGACUCAAUAUUGUUUGAAAGUCUACUUCUAGGGGCUCACUAAGGAAAUGACGAAAUUACCUUUGGCCCAUGUUAUCGUGUCUACACUUAGUCACGAGUCUAUAAAGAUCAAGGUCUCACAAAGAAUUACCAAGAAAUAUGCCAAAGCUUGUGAUAGAUUUUCUAGUAUCUUGACAAUUGGCCUGUUGUCAAAGCUUAUUAUCAAAAUAAACUCUUAAUGUCAAAUUUGCAUUUGAAGAUAAUUGUAUACCUUGGCCUGUUGCACCCUUAAAAUCCCUUAAAACCCUAUGUGCAACUUGCAUAUGAACAAUGGAUGGCUUAUCUAUAAACUAAGACAAAACUAGCACUAUAAUAUAAUAUCUAGUCAAAUAAUAGACUUACCAACUAAUUAUUUAUAGCUAGUUGAGUUUUCUAGCAAGGGAUCAUCACUGCAUCUAGACAUUUUUUUACUGUAAUCAAUUAGAGUUGAUGAUAGUUUGGAAUCAAGAAACCCAUAUUCAUCAAGUAAAUCCAAUGUGUAAUUCCUUUAGCAAACUCAUAUGCCCUUCACUAAUCUAGCAAUCAUCUCCAAGCCCAAGAAAUAUUUGGGAUUUCCCAAAUCCUUUGCUUCAAAUUUGAAUCCAAGUGUUGUUUAACUUCAUCUGCAAUUCUUGCAAAGAAGCUAGCUACCAAUAUGUCAUCAACAUAAACUAAAAGAGAUACAAAGUUGUUUCCAAUACCUUUAGUAAAUAAUGAGUAAUUUGAAUUUGAUUGAGCAAAACCAAAUUGAAGUAAUCAAUUUGUAAGCUUUGAAAUUUGCUUUAGUUUUGAAAUCACAAAAUUCAAUGAUCUAAAUAUGCUCAUGAGCCUAAAAGAAAUGUCUUUGAAAUGGAAGAACUUUCAUUGAAAAGUUUUUAAAGUUAUUUGUGAAAAAUACAAUAACUUGAAUGCUUUAAUAACAAGUUCCAACAAAGAAUUGACUUUUGUAACUGAGGUAGGGAUUCCUUGAAAGAUAGAAAGCUAUAUUUCUUCCAUGUAUUAGGAAGGAAUCGACUUGUCAAGAAAAAAACAACCGAUUCUCAAAAUAUAGGGCUAUUGGAUUGGAAAAAUCGAUCUCUCAAGAAGCGAAGGGUUGAUUCCUAUGAAGGCAGAAAUAUAAAGAAAAAGGAUAGAAUAGAAAGAAUUGACUUCUUAAGUCUCCAAUGAUUGAUUCCUUAAGGUAAAAUGAAGAAAGGUCAUAAACUUGUUAAAGAAGCUAAAGGGGGAGAUUUUGAGCUGGAAAACCAAAAUUUUAAAUUUUAAAGUAGCGCUCAAAGGCACAACAAAUCAACGUUUGAAAAAUGGAAUGAUGGAUUCAUGUGUAACAUAAUGUUUUAUCCUUGAAGCAAAUUAAGGAGAACCAACUAUUCAAAUGAGCAAUGAUUGAAUCCUAGAAAAUAGAGAGCAUCAAGCUUGACGGUAAAGUAUGAAGAAUUAAUUUGUGAAGAGUUCAAUGAUCGAUUCCUUGGAAGCAUAAUGUCCUAAGGUACCAAAGAAUUGACUUCUCAAAUAGGCAAUGAUCGAUUCCUGAAUACUGACAGACUUGAUUCAAGUGGCCUGAAUGUUUUGAAUUUUUUAAUCCUUUUUCUUUUUAAUGGGUAGAUUUUGAGAGGGGCUAUAAAUACCUCUAAGAACUCCAUUUUAAGCAAAAGAGAGAAUCCCCUUUCUUUCUAACAGGUAGAAAAGAGCUUCAUUCAAAAAGGAGAGAAAAGCUUUAGUUCUUAAGUUCAUAUCUUUCUCACUUUACAAAUCCUCUCAAAAACAGAGCAUCAGCUUCAAGCUUAAGUACUUUGAUGUUUACUUUAUUCUCCUAUACUUCAAGCCUUUCAAUCUACCUAGCCAAAGACACCACACUUUAUAAUCCAUUCUUGAAAGGUUUUACCUCCUUGAAAAGGUAGAUAGGUUAUACUUGAGCCUUGAAAAAGUAAGCUUGGUUAUACCUCCAUUGUAAAAGGUAGAUAAGUUGUGAUUUAACCUUGAAAAGGUAAUGACUUGUUGAUAAGUUAUGUUUAAUCCCAAAACAGCACUUGGCUAUAAAGGUUAUUCUUGAACCUAGUUGAGAAAAGCAGCAUCUUUAGUGGAUUCAAACUCCUUAUGAUACCAAGGGAGAGGACGCAAGCAUUAUAAGGCCGAACUUCUAUAAAAAUUGUAGUCGGAUGCUCUCUCUUCUUUUCUCAUUUUUACUUACCUUAAUUAUCUUUGCUUGCAUUUAUAUUCUUGGUUGAUCUUGCAUUUAUAUGGCGCAUGCCCUCUAAAGCUCAUAUGUCACAACCCAAACCCAAGGGGCCAUGACCAGUGCAAAGAUAUCAAUAGGAGUAACCCACUUAACCAAAGCAAGCCUCUAAACAAAUAAAUGUAAUUACUCAAUUUUCAUCAUUGGACAAAUCACCAUGGAAUUAGGUAUAAGCCAUGCAGCCAAUUGGAUUGCUCAAUGUUUAUAUCCUUAACAAGACAACAAGAUACUCGUAACGAGUAAUCAAAGGUUUUCCUUCAUCAAUAAGCUAUUGUACGUAGUCUUAAUAGAUGAAGUCGAAGGAAUUGAUGUGCCUUGCAAGCGAAUUGUAAAGUGUUACAAUUAUGAGAUCCAUAUGCAUCAAAGCAUAAUUUCUAAAUUGUUCCUAGUUGAUGUAUCAUUGAUAUUGGACAUCAAUAAUGCUUAUAGAUGAGCACAUUAUAUUUUCCUUACUUGUGAAGUAAGCAACCGAUCUCAAAUGUUGAAGUACGGAGAUACUUGGAACUAAAAUGUGGGUGCUUGUUUUUAGAACAAGUUCAUUGAACAUGACCCGCCAUAAGGAUUCCAUUUGAUACGUUACUUAAGUGUCUAUGAAAUAUAUCGUCAUGUGACAAUCAUGCAAGUAAUCCUUAGAGUUGAGACACCAGGUUGUCUUGUAUGAUGAUUGCAAUACUUUGAUAUCAUCGCUCUAGGUCUUAACUAAGGAUGCACAAACAAGAUGUUGUUGGGUAUAGCAUUAAACAUAUUAAGGCAAAUAAAUGGUCCAAAGAGGCUUCAUCACUCCAAGUGAUUUAAAAAGAUGUGUCUUUGCUGAUCUUGCCUUGAAGUAGCUUAAUGAAGUCUUUAGCCAAAGCAAGAUGGAUUUUGGAAAAGAAGUUUUCCAUAAUCCAAGAUAGCUAAUUAGUGGUUGUAAUAACUAAUACGAAAUUAUCAAAGAGUAGACAUUACACUAUGCUUUUAUGAUUUCUGAGACACUUGGUGAAGUGAUUGAUUUGAACUAAAAGGUUGAUCAUUGAAAAGUUAAGUCAAACCAUCUUGGCUCUUCUAACAUUUAGAUGGCCAUGAUGGAUUUCUAGAUCUUGCUUUUGGUAUAUAAAUUUUAAAUAGUUAAUUUGAUGAUAAAUUCAAAGUAGUUUGAAUUUAUCUAAUUCUAAGUUUAAGGAUUAUAUCUUAUGUUCAUUGCCAACAUGUUGGAAGCCUAAUGGGUCGCACACUUAAAAUAAAAAAUACUAAACAUAAAAUGGGAGAGGUGAUUAAGUUAAACAUAAUCAAAUUAUAAGUUAUAAGCUUCUUAAGGACUUAAUUAAAUAAUUUAAUUAAGUCAUUGAGUUAGUUGGCAAUUACAUAAAAGUUAUGUAAUUAACCUUAUUAGGGCUUAAAUUAAUCCAAGGUAUAAAAUACCUUGUUAUAGUCACCUAACACUAGCAAGCUUACACACUUACAAACACUAUUGCUCUAGCUUCACCCCUUGUGAAGAGAAAAAUGUUUCCUUUCACUUUGUGCUUAGUGUGGUCACCCCUAAGGUUGUUUGUGUGGGAAUUUGAGUUUACGAAACUCAUCUUUGCUAGCAUAUUGCCAUGGCAUAGCACUCCCAAUUGUUGGAGAAGGGUUUUUAAAUUCAUUAGUGUGGAUCACCAUUAGAGGCUACACAAGAACUCCUUUGAAAACUUUGGUUUGCAAUAAUUAGGCAAGUGUGGUUGAGUCUUUUAGGGGCUAUUAUGGUGGUUUAACAAAUGAUCUAGCUUUCUUUGUUUUUAAAGUAAUAUGAUCCGAUCAUAUGAUUAUAUGCAAAAUUUGAGGAGUAAGUAAAAGAAUAAGUUCAAAAACAAAGAUUCAAAUCUUUUAAAGAGUGAAUUGAAAAACAUACUUGAAAACAAUAAAUUUAAAUCUCUUCAAAAUAAAGUGAAAACACGCAAGUAUAAAAGUGAAGAGUGAGUAAGUUAUGAGUUUCAAAAUUUUCUUCAAGGUAAAAAGCAAAAGUUUGAGAAGAAGGGAAAUUCUCAAAACUUGCUUUUAUUUUAAGGCAUGUCAAAAACAAUUUGGAAAUUAAAUGAGCAAGUAAGUUGAAAACAGAUUCUAAAAACUCUUCAAAGUGAAGUGCAUAAAUCAAAAGUGUAAAGUAACUAGAAGAGUAAAUCAACGAAUACAACAAAAUAAGUGUAGAUUUUCAAAACUUUUCAAACCAAAGUAAAAGGCAUAAGUCUUUAAAAUUGAGUCAAAAGCGAUUGAAGAUUAAGUUGAAAAAAAAAAAGCAAGUUCAAAAACAAAUGUUCAAAUCUCUUUAUAGACAAGUAAAUACAUAAAACGUAGUGAAGAAUAAAGAGAAAGUGUACAAGUUUAAGAGAAACGAGAAGAAAGAAAAGACACAAAUCAUUUAUAGAGGUUUAGCCUUCUCUAUAGGCACCUACAUUCUCUCCAUCGGCUCACUAAAGAGUUUAUGAUCCACUAUGAAAUAUAUUUUUUAAGGCUCAAGUAUUACUUUUACAAUAGUUCCUUUUCACGAGCUUAAGCACAACCUUUACAAUGCUUUUCACGUGAGCAAGCAUAACCCACACAAUGCAUUUUCACGGAAGCAAGCAUAACCCCUUGCCUUUUCAAGGAUUAGGUGUAACCUCUUGCCUUUUCAAGGAUCAGGUGUAACUUCUUACCUUUUCAAGGAUUAGGUGUAACUUCUUACCUUUUCAAGGAUCAGGUGUAAACUCAUGACAAUAAUGCCUUUUAAAAGCUCAAGCAUAACUUUUCUUUCUUACAAGGUCAAAGAAAUGAUAUCUCUAGAAGGUGGAUUUUGCUUAGCAAGUACAAUGGAGGAAGAGUUUGAAAGAGCUAAAAAUGAUUACAAAAGAUAUAAGUGAAAGCACAAGGAAUUUGAAGCUCAAAGGUACCAGCUUUUUGGAAGAAUAUGAAUGGCUUGCUCUAGCUUCGUUUUCUCUCUUUUUCCUCUUCCUCUUCAUAUAAUUUGAUUCUUGAUCAAACGAUCUUUUUCUCAACUCUUCUAUCUUCCAAAAUGUGUUGGAGGAGUCUCUUUUAAACUUGGAAAAAGUUUAUAGUCAUCGGUGAUGAUUUAACGUAGAAACUAGUUGUUUUUCUUGUCUUUUUCGUAUUUAAUGGCUAUUUUUGGAGUCUGAAAAUCAAUUCUUUUUCUUGAGAGUUCUUCUUUAGUCUAGAGCUUUUUACUUUCAAAGAAUUUAUUCUUUAUUCUUAAGAAGUCAAUUCUUUUUGUCAGAUAAUCAAUUCUUAUCUCUCCAAAUAUCAUUUAUUCUUGGUUGAGAAUCAAUUCUUUCCUUUCCAUAUAUUGGUUCUUUUUGCACCCAGACUUCCAAGAAUCAACUUCUUGACUAUUGGAAUCAAUUCUUAAGCUCUUAAAAACUUGUCUAAGUAUUCUAUCUUGCAAAAUCAAUGUUUCCUUUCACAAAACAACUUCAAAUGUUAGUCAAGUAAGAAAACAUAAAAACAUAUCAAAAGCAUUCAAGGAUUACUCAAACUAUUCAAGGAUCAUUUAGACAAAAGAUUUUGAUCAUUUUUGUCAUGUCAAAACUCUAAUGAUUUUCAAGCUAUUAAAGCUAACAAUCUCCCCCUUUCUUAUAUAAAAAAAAACCUUAAGCAAAAUUUGCUGGUAAAAUACUCCUCCUAAAUAGUUACAAGGUUGAAAACUUUGAAGAUCAAAUAUUCCUUUUUCAAAAUGCAAAUUUUCUUAAUAUCGCUCCCACUUUUUUGUUAUAUAAAAAAAGAUAAACAUACAAUAAGCUCAAUUUGCAAAAAAUGAUAAGCAUAAUAAGGAAUAUAUCAAUUUGUUAGAAAAAGGUAUGCAAUAAGCACAUUUAUUAAUCUCCCACCAAUAUUCAAAGCCAAUACUAAUUAAUAAAUAUAAAAGCUCCCCUUUUCUAAAAACAAGCAUAAAAUCAAUUGUGAGGGAUAUAAUCCUUUCAAGUUCAUUUUAUCGAUUGGUAAGGCACUCAUAGAAGCUCUUCCUUGUUGCUUGCUAAUUUAUCAAGACAAUUUACUUUUAAAACUUUUAUCAAAUUAGCAAAACAUUAUGAAAGUGCACAUGGUCAACAAGUAAUAUAGUAGUGAGUGAGUUAUCAUCUCCACAGGGACUUGUAUCUAAAUUCUUGUUAAUUACUAAAAUUGGGCAAUCUAAUCUUAUCCAAGGAAUUCUAGUUUGGAAAUUAAUUGAAAAUGAAAAUUAAAGUAGCGAGGCUAAACUAGUGAACUAAGCUAAAAAAAUGCAAGUAAAUUGAGUUGGAAAAUAGUGGGGAAGUACCUAGUAUUAUGGUUUCAAUUAAUGCUUCAUUAAGACUUAAGAUUGACUAAUUACCUACUUUUAUGGAAAAAUAAUGCUAGCCUAGGAUCCUUAAGCAUGUAUGAUUCUCUAUUGAGAUAUCGUACAAUGGCCUAACUUAAUUUAAUUCUCUAUAUGUCUAUCGCUAAUUAAUUAAGCUAAGUUCCUUAAAUAUAGGUCAUAUAAAUUGACUGUAUAUGGUUAAUAGGUAUAUGUCUACCCUAUUAACAAAUCACCCAAUUAAUUCCUAAUUGCAAUGGUCAUAUACUACCAAAACCAUGGUCUUUUUAGACUAACUUUGUCAAGUAUUAUCUAAAAACUCAUACACAUUUUAUUGGUGACCAGAUAAUAAAAUGGAAAAUAAGUGCAGAUUUGAAUAAACACUAAAUAUUCCAUAAGAACAUGAUAUAGUCAAUCAAGCAUCCAAACUAUACAUUAAUAUCCACCAUAAUCCUAGAAAAGAAAGUUUAGCUUAACAUUCCAACAGCCCACAAUAAAAUUUCAGCAAAACUAAGCAUUUAUACAAGGAGAUUUAGAAAAGGAAAAAUAAAGCUAGUCAAAGAAAACUCUUUUGGUGUAACUUUGUCAAGCAUUUCUUCAAGAUUUUUCCUUUUCUUUUCUCCUUGUGGAAAGCUCCUUUUUGUCUCUGAAGUUGCUUCUCAAGAUGCUCCCCUUCAACCCUAAAAAAUGAUUGUAUUUAUACCCUUUUUGAUGGCCAUUUGAUGUAAAAUUGAAUGGCCAAAAAUGUGCAGAAUUACAUGUCGGCACCUAGGCACCCAAGGGCUGGUGCCUAGGUGCCCAAGGUUCUGUUUUGUGGCUUGUUUUAACAUAUUAGACAAUGCAUUCGGCACCUAGUCACCCAAGCUUCUAUCAACACUAACUAUAGUCUGUUAUAGUCAGUCAAUUUUCUCCAUAUUUUUUACGAUGAUUCCUUCCAAAUUGGGUGAAGUGAUAAACAUCAAAGUUGUAGCUCUUCCUCUUAAUUUUCUGUAGGUCCAAGUAUAUUCACUUUAAAGCUUAAGCACACUUAAGAAGGAUAUAAUUAAUUUAAAGCUCAAGUGGGAAAGAGACAAUACAAAGCUUGAUGUAAAUUUAAAGCUAGGUGCCAAUUAAGAAUACCUAAACCUUGAUAUCAAUGAUUAGAAGGAAACUUGAUAUCAAUUGUGCAUUUGAGCACUCAAGCAUAAGUGAGAGACAUUAAAGCACAUUUGGUGUUAGAAAGAUAUUACCAUUAAGAAAGAACACAAUUUGUUAAAUUCUCACCGCAACUUGUUGUUGAAGAUACCAAGUGCUAAUGACACUGAUCUUCUCCCUUAAUAAAUCAUAAGCUCAACAUAAAUUGUUUAAAGAGUUCUUAAACAUGUCCAAGGCAUCAUUAGUCAUCAAGUAUCAUUCCUAAUCAUUUUCAAACAUUAACAAACAUUCUUCAAUUUUCAUCCAGAAUAAUCAUUAAGCAGUAUUAAGCACUAUUAACUAAGCAAUUUCAAAAGAAUUCUCCAAGUCAUAUAAGAAUGAUAAUUCAAGAAGAAUUUUCACAAUAAGAACAUAUUAUCAAAUAUUAAAGAAAUAUGAUCAUCAAGCAUUUUUAGCAAGUAUUCUUCCAAAGCAAGCAUUUCAACAAAUAUUCUCCAAAUAAUGUAUAAAAUUAUCAAUUUGAAUAGAAUAUUCACAUCAAGAGAAGCACCAUUAUCAAUGAAGCAUUGCCAAAGCAUUUAGCUCUUGUUGCAAUCAUAUAAGAAAAAUAUUAUAUUCAAGUAAGCACAAGCAUGAUUACAAUAGAAUUUUUGGCUAUCUUCAUUAAUCAUGAUUCCAAUAUGUUUUAUGAAAUGCAAGCAUGAUUUUACUCUUCCUAAUAUAUAGACAUAUUCCAAAAUUAUGCAAUUAUUGAAGUUCAAAACACAUGCUAUUUCUUAAUAAUCUUUGUACUUCAUGAGUGAUACCAAUUGUUAUGGAAGAUAAAACACUCAACUCAUGAAUAUAUUUAAAGUAAACAUCCAAUGAUCAAAGAAUAACAAUUGUCAAGAUUCAAGAAAUAAGCAUUCAGUUGGUAACCCAUAAGCUCAAGUUGGAUGCAUACAAAGUCUUUACAUCAUAUAGACAUUCAAGCUUAUGGAAGACAUAGUCAACAUUUCAAGGCACAUUCAAAAGACUUUUCAACUAUGUCAACAUUUAAUACAAUUCAUGAUCAAACUUGAUAAUCAAAUCCAUAUUCAAAAGUAUAUUUUAAGUCAAGUAUUUUAGAUUUCAAUCAUUAAGUGUUAGCUUUAAUAUAUUGAAAAUUAUUAGAGUUUUGACAUAACAAAAAUGAUCACUAUUUUAAUAUUUACUUCUUUAUAUCGAACAUGAGGACUAUUUAAUAUAACAUUCCACACAUCUAAAUCCAUAGAUUGAAUAAAUAUUUUCAUACAUUUCUUCCAAUAUCAAUAGUUAGUACCAACAAUAAGAAGUGACCUUUGGAUUGACUACCUUUCACCAAGCACUAUUAUCGUACCCUCCAUUUUGAUGAUUUGAGCUCCUACUAUGGAUUACUCAAGACUAUUAAACUUGUAAAAAUUGAGCCCAUGCUUUGAUCCCAAUUGUUAGUAGUAUAAGCUCAAUGCAAAUAAUACUAAAAAGCAGCUAAAUUGGUAUUUUAAGAAUUUCUUUGGAAACCAAAUGUAAAAAGUAAAGUCUUUUUAAAGCAAGUUCCUCCUUGUGUUGAAAAACAAACUAAGUGAUUUUUCUCUAGGGGAAAUAACAACAAUAAACCACAAAGCAUAAAAAUAAAUCAAGACACAAGGAUUUAUAGUGGUUUGGCUUUUUAAGUGCCUACAUGCAUUCCCUUGGCCACCAAGGAAUUUCCAAUCUACUAAAAAAGAUUUUUCUUUUUAACAAGAUGAAGCGGUAACCCUCACAACGGCUUUUUCAUGAGAUCAGAUGAUAACCCUUACAGCAGCUUUUUCACGGGAUUAAGCAAAACCCUCACAAGAUUUUUCAUGGGAUCAAGUGAAAUCCUUUAACAAUGGUUUUUCAUUGACUCAACCACAAAAUGAAAAUAGCUUUUCAAAGUUAAGGUAGAACCUUUACAAGAAAAGUACAAUGUUUAGUAAGAAAAUGCAUCUACAAAGGCUGGGUACUAGGAGUUUAAGCUUGAGUUUGUCAGUGUAAGCUCUGCAAGCCAAUCAAUUUUAUGCUUGUAAAACACUACAUUAAUUUGUCAUAUUUCAUGUUAAAUACAUUAUGGAUAUUUUAUAUAAUGUAUGAGGUAUUCCUUUAUCCAUGAGUUUAUUUAUAAAGAGUUAUGAGAAAUUUAUGUAGAUAAAGCCCUUGAAACAUAAUGGCCUUGCGAAGAAAUUAUAAAAGUUAUAAUUAUAAGAUUUUUAUGCAUCAAAGACUUGUUCGUAAAUAUGUUCCUGAUAAUUGUAUUGUGAAAAACAAGGACAUUGACAAUCCUUAAAGAUUGGCACAUGUUAAGCCUCUUUACAUUGGAAGUAAGUAAUCAAUCUCAUAAGUUGAAAUAUGUGAGAUACUUAAGGAUAGUAUAUGGGUGUUUGUUAAUGAACAAGUUCACUGAACAUGACUCGCUAUGAGAGUUCAAUUUGGUAUUUCACUCAAGUGUCUAUGGAAUAACUCUCAUGUGUUAGUAGUGUAAGUAAUCCUUAGACUUGUGAUACUAGGUCAUCUUGUAUGUGAAUUGUCAUGUUUUGAUUUCACCUUUACGGGUCUAGAGGUGAUUAGAUGCCUAAACAGGCUACUUUUGGGUGUGGCAUGAAGCAUGCGAAAAUGAAUGAGUAGUCCCUAGGGGAUUCAUCACCCUAAGUGAUUUGAAUGGGACAUAUCUCAUUUUCUCUUGGCUUAUAUUGACUAAAAAUCCUUGGCCUAGACAAUCUUGAUAGGUCAAUAUGCAAGUUACAAGACUAAUAUGGAUAAGUUAGAAAGUAGACACUGAGCCAGGCUUUCUAUCUAUCCAGGGUAUACGAUAAAAGGAUCAAAUUACACUGAAAUACUGUACAUUGAAAGUUUAGUCAAACCAUAUUGACUCUCUUAACAUUUUGGUGGUUACGAUUUAUUACUAGAUACCUUUCAUUAUCUAUAAAUAUAAAUAUAAAUUUUGAAUUGAAUUAAUUUAUAUUUAUUACCAACAUGUUUUGCACCUAAUGUGUCACAUACAUAAGACGAAUUGUCAAAAUUAAUCUGAGUUCAAUUGGUUGUGAUUUAAUUGAUUUUAUAGAGGUUUAAUCUGAUUAAGUAUGAGGCUAACUCAAAUAUGAUUUAAUGGAAUAUUAAACAAAGGCCCAAUUAGCCCAAGACAUUUUUUAAUCCUUAUUGGAUAUGAAGUAGGUCAAUUCACUUUAUAAAAAAAUCUUGUAGCCACCUCUUGAACGUACAUAAAAGUUCUGUUUUAUUAUCUCAUGUGUUGAGAUAGAAUCAUAGACUAAAAGAGAGAAACACAAGGGAGCUCAAAGUUGAGAGUUUGUUAGCACAGACUUUAGCUUAAGGAUUCACACACUCUUAAUGAAGAGAUUUCGACAAGUCACUGUAAGGAUCACCAUUAGAGGCAGGACAAUUGUGCUGUUAUGGUUUGAUAAGUCAUAGUUAGUGUACAAAAGUAAAAAAAAAAAUGAAAAGCCAAGAAGGACUCCACCAAAGAAAGUAGACAUCAAAUUUUCAAGUAUAUGAAAAUCUUUCUCUUAUGUUUUUUCCUAUAUUAAUUUCAAUUAAAGUGAUCCAUGGCUUAAGGGAUUGAAAUUUUAACAUUCUAUUGAGUAUGAUCCGCCUUAGCAUGAUUUGAAUCCCCUUCAAAGCCUACUGAGAGAAGAAAUUUCAGCUUGAAUGAUGAAAGUAUAGGACCUUUUUGAGCUUGGUGGAAGACUAAAAUGAAGAUAGAGAGUGAGGAUAAGCUUUUGGAGGUCUCUUUAGGGUUUGAAACUUUAUCUCAAGUCUUCUUUUGCUUCCAAAUGACUUAAAGGCGUCUAUUUAUAGCUAGUGUGGAUUUUGGAGUCAUUAGACACAAGCUUGAAUUAAAUUUGACAAGCUUUGCCGAGGUUGACUAUGUCUUUUGAUUUCUCUCUUUUUCAUGUAUCAGAGUAGCUAGGGUCAACUACCACAAUGCCAUGUUCUCUAAUUUUUCAAGCUUUCUACUUUAAGGUUAACUAUAGCCACUUCAAGAUCAACUGUGGCUUUGUAUACUUCAAGUUUUUCAUUCUUUCUGCCUUUGGAUCGACUUGAGCUUCUCUAGAGUUGACUCUUAACUUGUGUCUUGAGGUUGUCGUAGCUUUUUGGCACCUUUCUUCAACUAUUUCUUCUUUGCCUUGUUUCAACAAUCAAAUAAUAAUUCAUAGCAUGUUUGCCUUUUGUUUUCUUAGUUGAAUAUGCAUUGUUUGAAAGCUAUUGUGAUAUUUUUUAAUGACUAAUGGCUUUUUAAACAAUUAUGUGACCUUAGGGAAUUUAAAAUAUAUUUGAGAUAAUUUCAAAUACUUGAUAUUAAGUUCAAGAUAACAUGUAUUUUUUGUCAAAUCAAUCUGUGAUGUAACUCAAGGCUAACAUUGUUACUUAGAGUUUGAAAAACUUUAGUAACUUUAUCAGUUAUGUUAAAAGAAAGAUUCCCAAAUGGUCUGUUGUGCACAACCCCUGUUCUGAUAAUAUGUUCCUUGACCAUCUUGCAAAAGCUGGAGUCGAUCAUGCUGCUGAUUUAUUGAGAAUAUCUACACAGAGGCUAUUUGAUUCUUAGUGUAUCUUGGUUCCUGUUGAUUCUGCUUUUCUCUCCUAGGUUUUUGUUUGCUUUGUUUGGUUUCUUGUGUUGUUCUUUGUGAGUUUUUGUUUUUUAGUUGGCUCUCUGUUUCUUUUUGCUGCUAGUUGCUUGUGAGCAAUUGUGUUUGAGCCUUUUCUCUAUUCUUGCUGUGCAACUCCUUUUAUUAUAAAAGCAUUGCCAUUCAAAAUAAAAAAGAUUUUUAAUAAGAUAAUAAUUUUGAUUGAAAUUAAUAAAUUAAAAAAUAUUAAAAUUCAAUUUACAUAAAUUAUUGAAUAUAAAUUAAACUUUUUUUACAAAAUACAUAAAUUAAUUGCAUAAUUUAAUUUUUUUUUUCAUUUGCUACUCUCCACGCAUCCUCUUCAUACUCAUAUUUUAUAAAACCAAACUUCUUACUUUUCCACUAUGCUUAAAGAUCCACCGAUGCCAAUUACCAUCCACAAGUAUAGGCCAUAAGGCCUGUUGGUACGAGCAACUACCAUUCCUUAUAUUAGUUAAGCUUUCAAACAGUCAUUCUUUAUAUAAUAUAUAUAAUUUUGACAAGCGUUAAAAUUAUAUAUAAUUAUGAAUUAUGAAUUAACUCAAUCACGUAAAUAUAUUUUCUGAUAGAAUAUAAAAGAAUUGGUGCACUUUAAAGAGGAAAACAGAAAAAGUGAGAUAACAAUAUUAAUUAUGUAAGUUAUGUUUGCUGCUUCUAUCAGAAACCAACUUAAGCGAGUGAGGGAAGCAGCUUUUUGAGCUCCUAAGAUAUUGAGCAUAAGAAUAAGUCGAAUCCGAUUGCAAGCUGUUCGCUUCAUAAUCACUUGAGUUUCCUCUCUGAGUUGAUCGCAUUGGCGUUUAACAUCUCCAAACCUUUCUCCAAUAGUUCUUUGCUCCUCUCUUAUGCAUUGUUGAUCUUCCCUUACCUUUCCCAUUUCUGAUUUUAUUCGUUGG